UAGCAAAACAAUGAUGAUUUAAAAUUAUUGCCUUGUUAUUCUAAAACUUGCUGUCACCCACCGACUAUGUUGAGUGAAAUUUAGUUUCACUUUGAUAAUGGAAGCAAGGUUGUACUUUGUGAACAUUCUUAACUAAGAUUGAACAUUCCUAACUUGUCCUUUUUAAAGAUCUUUAUUAGCAGCAAGAUUAUUUUGAAUUCUCUAUUAGCUUUAAAAAACAGGGCACUGUAGCUUGCUUAUCUAAUGGAUCUUACUCCUAUGAAUGAGCUUGUGAAAUGAUCAAAAUAUUGGUAUUUUUGUUGCUGUGUGGUAUUUUUAUAUAUCCUGCAUCGGGGAUAUAACAGAAGUAACUGAACACUCUUGCAAUUGUGAAAGUGGUCAUUACUGUAUUUUGCAACUACAUCUUUGUGUUGAAACCAUCCCUCAUUACAUUCUUUUCUGCACCUGAAACCAAGCAAGGUUAAGCCCAGUUACAUGACCGGUUUUCAUUCCACAGGUCACCCCAUCCCACAAGCAGCAAUCUGUACCCUCUUUCCACGACUCUGUCUUGGAAUGCUGGCAAUUCCAUGAAGCAGAGCUAUUAAUGGAAAAGGAUUCUUUGAAUUGGAGCAAAGAAAGACUUUGGUCAUGAGCACAAAAAUGAGAUGAAGAAAUUGUUGAAAGGAAAUGGAAGAGAAACAGAAUGAAAGAGAGGGACGGUGGUGAAAACCCCAUGUUUGGCCUUACAGGAUUUAGUAGUAUAUUUGGGAGAGAUAAGGAAUAAAGAAAGGCAUUGUUUGUAUAUUUAGUAGUAUAUUUAUAGACAAAGCAGUCUUAGAUUGUAUACUGACGAAAUCGAAGUCACUGACAAACAAUGGAGUUUGAAGUUUCUUGCACUCAAGAUGCUGUGGGAUCGGUCCUCCAAGUCUUCGGAACUGAAGGUUCACUUACAAAUAUUUCCACACAAGAGUGAGCGUCGGAAACACGGCAAUGCUAAUUUCCAAAAUUGACAUUUGCAGCUACUCUUUGUGCUAACAGAUACAGUUCAUCCUUUGUAGCUCGUCUGAUGGCAGUUGUUCUCGGGGACAUCUACCCCGCUAUUAUUCCUUGCUGGCUUAUAAAUUUAAUACUAAUUGGAUAGAUUAUUCCUUCGCAUGUACUGAUAGAUUAUUCUUGCUAUUAUUAACAAGAAUACGUGACUGUUUACUUGAAGGGUUAAGCAAUUUAUAUGUUUCCCAGAAGAAGACGAAGCGUUUCAUAGCUUAGAAAAUAGCAAUGAACAUGUGCUAAUAGAUACAGUUUGUGCUCUUCCUUUGCAGCUCGUCUGAUGGGAAGUGUACGUUUCUGGGGACUUCUACCACUCGUCCUCGUCUUCUAUGAAACUCCAUGCCAACAAAAGGCAAUAAUGCAACCCUUGGUACAGAUUUUUGCUGGAUAUUUCCACGCAAGGAGAGCUCCCUUAACUAGUUGAUGACUAAAAAAGAGUAUUGGACAGAGGGAAACAGGAUCGUUCUCAGGUAUCAUUAGGAAUUGUUUCAAGGAGGAAAAAGUAUAAGGUUAGGUUUCUUAAUGCCAGAGGCAGUUUGACAGAGAUGGAUAAGAGGUUCGUGAAACUCUAUGGACUCUACUCUUGCCAAUGUCAAUGGAAGGUUGGAAAAUUUGGCAACUUGUACUGAACCCACAAUAGUCUAUAGCUCUGCACGAGAGGUGGCAGCUACACAUCACCUUGGCAAGGUUUUAGGGAUUCAUAGAGAUACAAAUGAUGGUUUGGUUGCUGAACAUAUUCGGAGGCAGAUUGAUACGAAAUAGAAGGAAUGGUUGGACUCCCUCCUAAGUUUUGCUCUGUUGCCCAGUUUAUGAGUUUUGUUCUAAUCUUAAGCAGAUGCUACCAUAGAAUUAUAGAGAUUUAGGCAGUCUUUGUAGAAGGGGGGCUGCGCAAAAGUAUGUUAGUUCCAAUGAUAUUGAAGCUUUUUGUUUCUUGGAAACUAAAAUUUCUAAUUAUACGAACACCUUAGUCAAAAGUAUUUGUAGUUGGUCCAAAUUGCUUUAGAGCAUUGUUUGUACCUGUUGAGAUGGUUUUAUCACACUUUUUAAUAGUUAUUCAUCUCUUACAAGUUACCAGAAUUACUAUAUUUUACUUGCAAAUAUUGCUACUGUUGUGAUAACAGAAUCUGUCAGUCAAGUGUUCUUUUAAAUUUACAAGAGUUGUUUCAAUCUGUUUAUAACUUUAUAACUUUCAAAAUACUCCUAGAAACAGAGAUUGAUUUAAGUGAUCACGAAUAAGGAAAUGGAGACAUAAAAAAAGGACCCAAAACAUAAAUGAUUUUAUAGUUAACACAAACUUGUUACAUGCAUGAAUUCUUUUUCAUAGAAGUAAUGUACAUUUAACCUUGAAUUAUGUAAACUACAAAUUUUUUUUUUUUUUUUAAAUCCAAUACUAUGAAUUUGCCACCCAAUUGUUGAUCCACUUGAUAUCUUGAUUGUACUGCAAAUUUAGAAAGGCAAGACUGAUCAAAUGAAAUAGUAAAGAAAACAUAGCCUAACAUAAACUGUGAACAUAAAAUUUGAAAACUCAAAUGCUUGCAAAACUUACUUAAAAAUAUCAAUUGCAUUAUUUAGUUUCUUCUAGCACAAUAUCUGCCAGCAUUUUUCUUUGUUUUUUUGCUCUAGAGAUUCCAUUUAUCUUCAACCAUCCUAAGAAACCAUGAAGGCUUUUUUGUUCUUAACACAACAUAUCCCGUUGCAACUCCAAACAUAAACCCGCAUCCAUACCCCAUUGUCACAGCUUUCCAUCCAAAUCCUUCUCCAAACAAUGUUGAAUCAUCUCCUUCAUCAAAGCUUGAUGGCGGUAAUGAUGGUGCCUCAUCACCGUAACAUUUUUUUAGCACUUGAAAUCCACAUAAACCCAAGUUUCCUUCAAAUGAGCUUGCAUCAAAGGUGUUGAAUUGCUCUCCACUUGGUAUGAGCCCCUCGAGUUGGUUAUGUGAAAGGUUUAGAAUUGCAAGAAAUGUUAGACCCUCCAGCUGCGUUGGAAUCCUUUCGGUAAGCAAAUUUGAAGAUAGAUCUAAUGAUUCCAAAUUGAUCAAAUUUCCUAGUGAUGAUUGGAUAUGACCUGUAAGGGAAUUAUGAGAAAGGUUGAGCUGUUGGAGUGCUUUAAGCUUUCCCAUCACUUUUGGAAUCUUUCCGGUGAAAUUGUUAUUUGACAAAUCAAGUACUCUGAUAGUACUUUGGAUCUUCGUAAACUCAAUUUCUACACCUUUCCAUGUCAUUUCUAUGGAAUAGACAUAGCUAGUGUAAUUUGUUGCCCCCAUGUAAAUCAUGUUUUGAUCCGAGACCAUCAUUGCUUCAAGACUAUUGAAAUACCCAGUUGGCAAUGGCCCAUUAAAAUUGUUGUCGGAGAUGUCAAAAAUCCAUAAUUUAGAGAAGGAAUUAUAUGCAGUCGGACCCUUCACAAAACCUUGAAGUGUAUUGGAUUUUAGAACAAGAAUUUGGAGCUUUGGAAGCGUUUCUAGAAAGUAGGGAAAUGUAUCUUCAAUCUUAUUGUUGCCAAGAUCAAGAACUUGCAACAUUGUGCAGUUGAUGAUAGACGGUGGUAUUUUCCCUUCUAAUUCAUUUCCAUUGAGGUUGAGAUAUUCCAAGCUAUUAUCCUUUGAAAAUGUUAAAGGGAUAGUGCCUCGAAGAUUGUUCAUGUCUAGAUGCAAGACUGAAAGCAUAUUGUUGAAGUUCCCCAAACAUAGUGGCAUAGAACCCCUCAAGCUAUUGUUGGACAAGUCAAGAACCCGAAGGAAUCUUAGCUUGCAAAUAGAAGAAGAAAUCUCACCUGUCAAUUUACUAUUGGAUGCAAGAAUAAGGAAUUCCAAGUUCUCUUGUUUUAAAAUCGAACUUGGGAUUGGACCAUGCAAGUGGUUAUUGCUCAAAUCAAGGUAAGUUAAUGAAUUGUGUUGGAGUUCACUUAUAUUGCCUAUGAGAUUAUUGUUAUGAAGGUCAAGAUAUUGUAAAGAAUGAAAAGCAAAUAAAAAGGAUGGUAUUGUUCCAUUGAACAAGUUAUUGGAUAAAUCUAGACUCUCUAGAUUUGAAAGGGUAUUUAAUUGAGAAUGGAUAGUGCCUACUAGUUGAUUAUUUGAUAAAUAUAAAUUUGAAAGAUUAACUAGACUACCUAAAAAAUCUGGAACUUGACCCAUAAAUUUAUUAGAAUCAAGAUAUAAGAAACGAAGGUGUACAAGGUUUCCAAAUGAGAAUGGGAUGUGACCACUCAAAUUGUUACUUGAAAAGUCUAAAUAAGUGAGGUUUAUGAGAUUACGGAGUAUAGCUAUAUCUGACCUUAUAAUGUUACAAUUAUGAAGAGACAUAUAUUCUAAUGACUUUAUAUUACUGAAUAAGUCGUUUUCUAAAUAAACUGAAAUUCUUGUAAUAGAAAGAUCCAAUCGAGAGAGGACAUUACUCAAAUUGGACGAAGGAAAAGAGCCAGUGAGGACCUUGUUGUAUGACAGAUCCAGUGAUUCAAGGUUUGGGAGGAGAAAGAUGUUCCCCGGGAAUUUCCCUUGCAAUCCACAAUCCUAAAGGGAAAGAGAUGACAAAGAAGAGGACAGAUUCGUCAAGGAAUUAGGUGCAACCAAAGACAAAUUUAAAUAACCCAAAGUGAGAUCUCUUAGCUUGGUUAGGUUUUGAACAAGCUUGUCAAAAGAAAUUGGUUCUAUACUGAGAUGGAUGUUUUCAGAGAGAUCCAAGCAUUGGAGGUGCUUAAAACUUCCCAUUGAGGAUGGGAGUUUUCCUUGCAAUCGACAGCCAGAGAGUUUGAGUGAUGACAGAGAAGAGGAAAGAUUCAUCAAGGAACUGGGUACAACCAGUGACAUGUUUACCCAGUUUAGAUGGAGUUCUCUAAGCUUGGUUAGGUUUUGAACAAGCUUGUCAAAACAAAUUGGUUCUAGACUUAGAUUGUAUUGUCUAGAGAGAUCAAGUGAAACCAAUUUGGAGAGAUGAGAGAUUUCCGAUGGAACUUGACCUGUAAAGACUGAGUAAUUUAGGUUAAGAUGUGUUAGACUAGAGAACUGGCCAAAUUGAGAAGAAAUAUGGGAGAGGUUGAAAUGAUUGUCAGAGAGGUCGAGCUUUUGAAGAUGAUGCAGGGAGAAGAGGGUGCUAUUGGAAUGGAUGGUGCCGUAAAGCAUGCUGCAAGAGAGGUCCAGUCCAGUGACACGCCCGGUUUUCAGGUCACAAGUGAUCCCAUCCCACAAACAGCAGUCUGUACCCUCUUUCCACGACUCUGUCUUGGGAUGCUGGCAAAGCACUGAAGCAGAGCUAUUAAUGGAAAAGGAUUCUUUGAAUUGGAGCAAAGAAAGACUUUGGUCAGGAGCACAGAAAUGAGAUGAAGAAAUAGUUGAAUGGAAAUGGAAGAGAAACAGAGUGAAAGAGAGGGACAGUGGUGAAAACCCCAUGUUUGGCUGGCCUUACAGGAUUUAGUAGUAUAUUUGGGAGAGAUGAGGAAUGAAGGAAGGCAUUGUUAGCAGUAUUUAUAGACAAGAAUGAAGGAGAGGCAAUAAAGAAGUUUCCUUAGCUGGGUGCUGACGGACCAUAUCUCAAGUACAUAGACAAGAAUGAAGCAGAGGCAUUAAAGAAUGAGCGAGUGAGUGUUGGAAACGCGGCAAUAUUAAUUAAUUAAUGGAACACCUUAAUUAGUUAGAGAAUCAAAUUCUCACAUAAAGCGUUCAUUAAGCCUUUGAAUCGGAGCAAAGAAAGACAAAUUAAUUUGUUCAUGAGGACAUAAUUGCUAGUAUUAAAAACGCAACAGGAUGACAUUAUAUAUAACAAGGAAAUAAAAUAAAAUAAAAUAAAUAUUAAAUUUAUUUUUCUAUUAAUUUAAUGUUAAAGAAUAAAAUUAAAAAUAAAAUUCAACUAAAAAUAUAAAACAACUCAACAUAAAUUUAUCUUUCAAACCUAGAGGAGACUAAAUAAAAAAUAUUAAAAUAAAUUAUAAAAUUUAUUUUUUAUUAAAACAAAAUAAAAUCCCACUAAAUUGUUGUUUAUGGAAACCAAGGCAAAGUAAUAAUUAUGCCAAGCACUAAUGACUUUGCAUUUAUAUAUCGUUUUUUAACGAUCCAAAAAAGAUUAUUGAAUAUUGGAAACACGACAAUAUUAAUUAAUUCCCAAAAUCAACUUUUUGAGAGUAGAUAACACGUUACAUAUUUAAAUUUUAGAAAAAAAAGACACACAUUUCCUCUGCUUCAAAAUAAAUAAAAUAAAAAAUACAAACGAAUUAUUGAAUAAACGCAUUGCCGCGAGUCAAAAGAUUUUUUUUUUUUUAAAAUUUAUAAGUUUUUCUUUUAAAAACAAAGAAUGGUUGAGUUGAGUUGGCGUUGUGGAGGUAAUGAAGAACCCUAAUUCUCCAAUUAUAUGGUUACAUGUAAUGUAAAUAGUUUACCUUGAUAUGACAUACAUGGAUUAUUUAUUUGCCACUUAAAGCUGAAGGCUUUUGCAUUUAAAAUUAGGUUAAUGUAUAUGGUGAGUAAGCUAUUAAUUUAUUGUGGUUUCCAACUUCAAAAUUCGAGAAUCAAUUAUAUUAUGGGUUAGUGAUAAAAUUUUAAAGAAGGAGCAUUCUUGAUUUCUUUCAUGUUAAAAGCAUUAAUUACAUGUCCUGUUUUAAAAAAUAAAUCAUGAUUAAUUUGCUAUAGCACACUUGUUUUAACAAAAAAAAAAAAAAAGAUUACGUAACCAAUAAAUUCAUUCAGCGAAUUUUUCCACAAGUUAAUUAAUUAAUUAAUCCUUUUAGUAUUAAUUAACUAAAUAGUUAAUUAAUACUUUUAGUGAGUGAGAGGGGUUGCUAAUAUUUCUUAAACUAAUUAAUCCUCUUAGUAUUAAAAAUAACUAAAUAGUUAUUUGACAAAUCUUGAUUAGUAAUUUUUUUUUUAUUUUAAAAAAGAUACUUUUCUUGCUUAUCAUUCUUUCAAUUGAUAUACUUUGAAUUUUUUUUUAAAUAAAAUAUAAUUUAAACUAUAUAUGGGAUUAUGUAUACAUAAUUGAAAUAAAAAAAUUGAUAAACAAAGUCAUCUUCACCUUCUUAUUUCCAAUCCAUUUCACAGUUGUACAGCGAGAUUAAGUAACCAAUAAUUUCAUUCAGCGAAUAUUGCCACUGAAUAUUUCACUAACACAAGUGCUAAUAAAUAAGGUAGAUAAUCAUGAAUGCCGAACUUUACAUGAAAUAUUUAUAGCAUGAUAAAAAAAAAUAAAAAUCGUGGCUGCUUAAUUUGAAUGUUCAGAGACGUUUUUCCAAAUUGUAUUUAUCAAUGAAAUUUAUUCGAAGAUUGCUUGGCCCACUAAAAUAUAAUUUCCAUGAAAUUCAAGCCUCAAUAUAUAGGAAGAAACUUGUUAAUAAUUUACGAUCGUAGUUUACUCACAGCUUAAGCAAGUGGGCAUGCAGAGUUAAAGAGUCAUCCUCACCUUCUUAUGUCCACUUCAAUCCAGUCUCAGAAAGCAAUAUGCAAUGGUCCAGAAAAGUCUUUGGAUAUAUAGAUAUUGUCCAAUCUUCACGUGGUGCUCAAUAUGAAACUGAGGGUUGAAUUAUUCAAUUGCGAAUACUUCCUUAAUAUUUUUAAUAUUUUUGUUAAGAUCAAGUCUAUGUGAGUGAUGUGCAGCAAGUAUAUCUGUUAAUUAGAAUUUUCUUUGUAGCUUGCCUAGUGUUAAUUGUGCGUUAUUUACAUUAACACAUUAAAAUAAUUUAAAAAUAUAUUCAAAAUAUAAUAAUAUUAAUUUCUUAUAAAAAUUAUAUUUUUUAAAAUAAAAAUAAUAUAAAAAUAUUAUUUUGAUAUAUUUUCAAAUGAAAAAAAUACUUUGAAAAAUAAUCUCUACCACACUAGCAUGCUCUAAAAAUAAAAACACAAUAAUAUUAAUUGCCUAAAUGGAUUAAAUAGUGUUUUAGGGGUUCUUAAUUUUUCUUAAAUUAACUAAUCCUUUUAGUAUUAAAAGUAAUUAAAUAGUUAUUUGACCAAUUUUGAUCAUGCUCUAAAAAUAAAAACACGAUUUUGCACUUAUGGAUCAUACUUUUUGUGUGCGCUCGGUAAUGUAUAGAAGUUUAAUUAUUUUUUAAUUGUUUUAUUUAAAAAUAUAUCAAUAUGAUUUUAUUUAAAAAUUUAUUUUUAAUUUUGAAAAUCAGAAUAUUAAAAUCAUAAAAAAAACAUUAAAAAAUUAAUAUUGAUUUCCUAAAUGGAUUAAAUAGUGUUUUAGAGGUUGCUAAUAUUUUUUAAAUUAAUUAAUCUUUUUAGUAUUAAAAAUAACUAAAUAGUUAUUUGAAAAAUAUUGAUUAGUAGUAUUUUUUUUUUAAAUACUUUUCUUGCUUAUCAUUCCUUCAAUUGAUAUACUUUGAGUUUUCCUUUUUUCUAUUUUAAAUAAAAAAAUAAUUAAACUAUGGGAUUAUGUAUACGUAAUUGAAAUAAAAAAUUGAUAAGCAAAGUCAUCUUCACCUUUAUAUGUCCAAUCCAAUCCAAGCAAUGGAGCACUAAUGACUGUGCACAGAUAUAAUUUCUCAUGACCCGAAAGUCUUUCAGUGCGAUUCAUAAUGUUGUGCGAUAUAUUUUUUAAAUGUAUAUUUUAAUUGAAAAUAUAUUUAAUUUGUUUUAAUUUUAAUAUAAAUACAUCAAAAUCAUAACAAAAAUUAUAAAAUAUUUAAUUUAAUGCUUUUUUAAGCAAUAUGUUUUUAUAUAUAUAAAAAAAACAAAAGCUACCACAAUGUUUUAUUAAUGAGAAUAAGAAUAGAACCAUGACAAUAUUGAUUUUCUUAAAAUUAAUUAAUCCUUUUACUAUUAAAAAUCUUAUGGGGGAUAGAAAGUUGGGGGAAGAAAAAGGAUAAUUAUUUUCAGCUGAAAUCAGGUGUGCCCUUCUGUCCUUUUUCUUUGCUCUUUCGCUUCCUUUUAGGCUCCCGGCCUGUCAUGAAGUUGGUGUGGGAAUAAUUCCCUUUGCAUGGGACAGGCUGACUCAUCAGUCCUGAUGCAUGUAUAUAUAUAUAUAUAUAGGCCUCCUUUCUCUUGGGAAUAAUGAAUGAAGCUUGAGAAAGUUUUAAACCAAAACCUUUUUAUUACUAUGGAGAAUUUUGCCUAGGAUUGUUUUUCAUGCGAUUGUUCAUUCUAAAAUGCAAAACUAAGAGUCUGUCGCUGAAGUUUCCUAAAUAUGCAAUGGUGGUGUAGAACCGCUCAAACUAUUACUUUACAAGUUAGACUUGGAGGAAUUUCAGAGCAGCGUACCGGAAAUUAAAACAAUAUUUUGUGAAAUUUUAGGAAAACAGAGCAUCAACAAGGGAAAACCAAUCUUCAUCUGGUCUGUCCUACUAAAACUGACAAAGAUUGGAGGAGUUUCAAGGUUCUUGCCCUCGAGAUUACCAAGUAAGUGUGGGAUUGGAAAGAUCUUUCUUUUCCAGCAUCAACAAGGGAAAACCAAUCUUCGGAACCAGUGAGUGGUUCUGAAUAUGGAACUGCAGGUUGAAUUAUUGAUCAAUUGCAAAUAUUUCCAUACAAUCAGAUCCCUUUGUUGACUAUACAAGAGUGUUGGAAACACGGCAAAAUUAAUUUCCAGAAUUGUCAUUUUUCCAGCAAGUCUACGUACGCGCAAUUUGUGCUCUAAUUAUAACUCCUUUUGUGUCUCGUCUGAUGACAACUGUUCUUGGAGACUUCUACCCCUCUAUGCCUAGUUUUUCUUGGUUUCAUUGCAUCUUUGAAGUUUGGUUUUCCUUACAAUUUAUUUUAUCUUUCAUUAGAUAUCUCUAUACUGUAAGAAAUAUUUUUAAGUGGAUCAUAUGCCAUGUCAAGUUUUUAGAAUAAUAUAUAUAUAUUAUAAAAUUUAUAAAUGAUAAUUAAAUGGUUGGAGUUCAUUGCUCUCUAAUGAUGAACUAAGUUCAAUACAUAAUGGAUGAAAGGGAAAAAAAUCAUAUUAAAUAUUAAAUAUUACGUAAUGUCAUGUAACCUCCAUCAAAAUAUAGAAAACCUAAAGUUUGGUAUUGACGGUUCAAUCAUGACAUGGGCUAAAUCCACUCACUUGACAAGUGUUGAUCAUAAUACAAAUAAUAAUUAAUUAAGUCAUAAAUAUAAUUCAAAUUAUAGAGAUUAAAUGUAUAGUUUGCAAAACUACGGACUAGGUCGAACCAUGACUGAACCAUAAUGCUAUACGGAUUAAUUGAGUGAGAAUAAUACCUCUUUCAGGAUUUAAAAAUUAAAACAAAAAAAGCAAAAUCAUGCCGCCUAAGUAGUUGUUGCUAGACUAAAGGACACCAAGGCAAAUUAAUAAUUACGCCAAGCACUAAUGACUUUGCACGACUGAAAAAAGAGUACUGAGUGUUGGAAAUUAGCAUUGCUGUUAAUUAUAAUAUGAAUUAUAUAAAAACUAUAAUUUACGUUGUUAUCUAUUUUUUUGGGUCCUUAAAAAAAAACAAUGCAUAAAAUAAAAAAAAUUGUUGAAAAAAAUUAAAAUAAUAAAUCAGUAAGGAAAAAAUACGAAUGUUCAAAAAAUAGCAAUCACUAUUUACAGAAGGUAAGGUUCCUAUCAACUUUCCUUGUUGACUCAAAAUGGUGCAAAAUUAUGCCCCCGCUAGCACUAAUGACUUUGCACUUAUAUAUUGUUUUUCACGACCCAAAAAAGAGUACUGGGUGUUGGAAAUAUCGCAAUAUUAAUUAAUUUUUGAAAUUAUUUAAAUAAAGAAGAGAGAAAAAGACAAUUCAUAAAACUUAAAAAAAAUAUUUAAAAAAUCAAAAAUAUAUUAAUUUAAAAUAAAAAAAUUAAUUUUUUUAAAAAUACAAACAAGCUUUGAUUAAAUGAAAGGUAAAGUAAUAAUGACUUUGCACUUGUAUAUCAUUUUUCACGACCAAAAAAAGAGUAUUGAGCGUUGGAAACACGAUAAUAUUAAUUAAUUUCUGAAAUUAAUAAAGUUCAUGUGAGUGAUGUGCAGCAAGUCAAUGUGCUCAUUCGAAUUAACCUCCUUUGUAGCUUGUUUUGUGGUAACAAUAUUUUUUAUAGUAUCACAUUAAAAUAAUGAAAAACAAGUUAGAAACAUGACAAUAUUUAUUUUUUAUUAAAAAUAAAUUUUAAAAAAUAAAAAAAUCUUUUUUAAUUAUCCAAAAGUUAUCAACCUUCAUUGUGUGCUUGGUUGGUAAUGUGUAUCAACCCAAAAAGUCUUUCUCAGCAUCAACAAGGAAAACCAAUCUUCAUUUUCUCAGAAAGUAUGGAACUGAGGGUUGAGUUAUUCAUUUGCAGAUAUCUCCACGAAGGAGAGCUCCCUUAGUUGAUUACUAAACAAGAGUAUAAUAUGUAAAAACUUGAUAUCAAUAUAUUAAAAUGAUGUAAAAACAUGAUAAGAACACGACAAUAUUGAUUUCUUGUAAAAAAUAAAUUUUAUAAAAUAAAAAAAUAUAAAAUAUUAUUUUAAUUUAUUUUCAAACAAAAAAUACUUUGAAAAAUAAUCUCCACCAUACUAACAUACUUGAAGAAUAGAAACACGGCAAUAUUGAUUUCCUAAAUGAAUUAAAUAGUGUUUCAUGGGUUGCUAAUUUUUCUUAAAUUAACUAAUCCUUUUAGUAUUAAAAGUAAUUAAAUAGUUAUUUUAAUCAUGCUUAAUUCAAUAAUAAUUAUUAAAAAAAAACACUUUUCUUGCUUUUCAAUCUUUCAAUUUAUAUACUUUGAUUUUUCCUUUAUCUAUUUUAAAUAAAAAAAUAAUUUAACAAUGAGAUUAUGUAAGCAAAUAAUUAAAAAAAUAUGUAUACAAUAAAAAAUAAAAAAUAAAGAUAGUAAACCAUUUACCUGUAUUUAUAACCCUUGAACCUUGUUAUCUUAAUGGAGUUGAAGGACUGGAAAGACAUUUUUUUUAUAGCAUUAAUAAAAGAUAAAUAUCUCUUACAAAACAUUAAGUGAUGAACAAAUACCCCUUGCGCAAUAUUAAUGAGGGAUAAAUAUCCAUUGUAAAAUAUUAACGGGAAUGAAAAUAUGAUAGGUUUUUAAAAACUUUUAUAUACCUAUAAAUAUCAAAAGAUGAAUAUCCUUAACUCUAACAUUUUAUAUUAAAAAUCACAAGAAUAAACAAAUGUAACCUUGUAGUCUAGGUCCUAUAAUGAUCGCUAUACCCAAACCCACUUUGGCUUGGCAUGAUGCCAAGUCCAAGAGCGGUGGAUCUGGCAGCUCGCUAGAUCCAUAUCCGUUUGGGCUCUGCAAGUAGCUGAACUCAAGGGUGUGGGGUCUAGCAACUCGCCAAAUGCUUAAUAAGUAGCUAAACCCAAAAGUGUUGGGUCUGAUAGCUCGCCAUACUUACGUCCACUUGGGCGCAUCGAGUACCUGAAUUCAAGAAUAUUGGGUUUGGAAGCUCGCUAAACUCAUGUCCAUUUAGAUUUAGCGUGUAGCUAAACCUAAGGAUGUUUGGACUGACAGAUCCAUGUUAAUUUAUGUUCAACGCAUAGUUUAACUUAAUGAUGUUGGGUUUAACAGCUCGCCAAAUUCAUAUUUGUUUGGGUUUAGUGCAUAGCUAAACCAAGGAUGUUGGGUUUGGAAAAUCCCCAUAUUUAUUUUUGCUUGAGCUCACCGUAUAGCUGAGCCCAAGAAAAUUAGAUCUGGCAACUCUGCAUACCCAUGUCUGUUUGGUAGCUUGCCAGACUUAUGUCCACUUGGGCUCUGCUCUUAUUCACGCCGAAAGGUAUCUAGCUUGAUCAUGUCAUCUGGACUUGAUAUUCUUUGCUUGGGCACUCCGAGCUAGAAUUCCGGCAACAGCAAAAACAAUUCAUUGAUAAAUGAAACUUCCCAGGAAAUCGAAGUUUAUAAUUGGAGCUGAAAAAUCUGAGAAAUGCAAUUCGGAAUGUUUUCCACUCCCUUCAAGUUACUUGUAACACCACUUCUAGAGUUUCGACAACUCACUUCCUCAAUGGAAACACGGUGGUUUUUUUAUAUAAAAGAAACAUCUCGUCUAGGUAAUGAAAAGAUUAGCUGUUUAAAGUUAAGAGAACUUGUGAAGGAAAAAAUAAAACACAUACAUUACUCAAAAGUUGCACUAGAUUCCAUGGAGCACAAGAUCAGAAGAAAAAGAUCAUUGAUGGAUGAUAUGCGAAUCUUAGAAGCAGGAAUUUCCCUCAACUGAUUAAGCCCACCUCUGGAUUUCGAGAAAGAGCUCUUGAAAAAAUGGGAAUGCUAUUGACAUGUGUUCGAUCCCUUGGGAAACUUCAAUGGCCACAAACAAUGAAAGGAAAGUUCAGUAGAGUCAGGAACUUUAUAGAAAUCGGUUUCCUGUCCUCCUAGAUGCAAGCAAGAGUCCAAGUAUGGAACGAACUCCAGCCUAUCAGCUCCUGAAGAAUAGGAUUUUAAACUAGUGAUAAGCUUUGUAUAGAAUGAAACUCUAAUUAUUGUGUUUGAUUAGAACUCUGCAACGUUAUCUCUACUGUAUAUAUACACCUCUGUUUUCAAUGAAUAGAUAGAAGAGUUUCCUACGUUCCAUAUAUAUUCAGUUGUCUCCUCCACACUAGAAUGGCUGUGUUCUUGAAACACUAUCCUUCCCUUUCUUGGCAUUUGAUCCCCAACUCCUCUAUGAAUAGGUCUAACUAUGCGAGCUUGAUAAAGCUAGCUAUCUGCAAGUAGUCAAAGAAAAUUGCUAGUUUAACUGGAAAGAGUCGAAAGACAUGAUGACUAGGCUGGAUAGUAUAUUCAUUGCUUCAUUAUUUAUCUUCUAAUUUUUUACACUUCAUAGAGGACCUAUAACAUGAGACUACCUGAAUAAGCUAGCAGAAAACAUUGUAUCACACUGACUACAAACAAAACGCACCUGAAUUCACAGUCCAUACAAAUUCAAAACAGCUUUUAGGGAGCUUUGUUGGAUUCUUUAAUGUAAAGGAAACGAAGCAUUAUAGCUUCAUAAUGAUAAAGUGAAUCGCCUCCAUUUUUAUUUCUAUCCCCAGGAGAAGAAUCACCUCCAUUCAUAAUGCUAUUUUUAUUGCUUCAAUCGUUCUCAUCAUCAGAAGAAUUCCCCAACAUAGCAUUCAUAGCCUCCUCCUGCUGCUUCUCAAUCUCCAUGGUCCAUCAUCCACGAUGAAUUCUUUGCUUCUUCAAUUUGUAAUCGUUUUCCAUAUUCUCCAAACUAUAAAGUGAAUCACCUCCAUUUUUAUUUCUAUCACCUUGUGGAUGUGGCUGGAUUUUCCGCCGCUCGAUCCACUUAUCAAUCAUUUCCUCUACAAAAGCCUGUGGAUGAAGAAAAAUUCGCAUCCGUUUCCCAUGAAGCUCUGUUCUUAACCAUCAGAUCCACCUACAGCAAUGCCGAUUCCCAUGCAUCAUUCCAUUCACCCUCUUCUGUUUUGGUAGAGAAUGAUUGAAAAAAUGGGCCUACUCCCUUUAUUCUCCAUCUUUAUUUUAUUCCACUACAACGUGCCGCUGCUAUCAGUCGAAAGCAUCCUUUGGUCUCUUCUCUUGACUGCAAGCAAUAAUAGAUAAAGGCAUUUAGUAUUUCUUGGAUCUAUGACGCAAUCACUGCUGCAGGUUAACUCACUAAGCUGUUUGAAGGAAAGUGGCCCUUUUCAAUUGAUUUUGAAGUAAGGAAAGCAAUGUUCCAACUGAAAAUAAAUUAGGAGCACAGUGCACGCACCAAAGCUAGCAUCCUUGCAGAUGAUCCUGAGUUCCCUUAUAAUGCUUUAGACUUGUUAGUAUCUCCUGAGGGAUUAAUUAGUUAACUGGACUAAUCACAGAAACGCUAGAAUAAACAUUAUGUGGUCCAUGCCAGCCAUUGAAGAACUAAAAUGGAAUGUGGAUUGUUCAGCCUUUGGCAAACCUGGUAGAACUAGAAUUGGUGGGGUACUGAGGGAUCAUAAAGGUGUGGUGUUGUGUUCUUCAGUUAGAUUGAAGAGCAAUAUAUAGUUGUGAUACGGUAGCAAUCUGGAAGUGUAUUUAAAAAAGAGAAGUUGAUACUCUGUUAUUCAACGCUGCGGAUAAGGGAAAGGUCCACGAUGAAGAUCUUGUGUGGCUGGUGUUCUUCAGUUAGAUUGGAAAGGUCAACGAGCCAGUUCAAAGACCAGCGGUGGCACUGCUGCUGGGGUAAAGAGCAACUCAGGAAUCUGCCUAUUGUAUAUAGAUUUUUAGUUCCUUCAUUUUUUUUUUAUGGGUAGGUCCUUCAUUUUUUUAGUAUGAUGGAAAGAAAUAAUAAUUUUAUUAAUGAUAGAAGCCUAGUAAAACUAAAACACUUUCCCUAGCUACAUAUACAAUGCAAGAACCAUGAAGCACUCGAUUUUUCGGUCUACUACCGUGUGAUGCCGUCAUUUGUUUAGUGUGAUUUACAAAAAUAAUAAUUUUAUUAGUGAUGGUAACCUAGUUAAACUAAAACACUUUCCCUAGCUUAAUUAGCCAAAAAACAAGGCCAGUCAACAUGCGUGGAUGCCACAGUGACCAUCUUCCCUAGAAAUGUUUUGUCUCAUCACAAGCAGUGAUGGGCAUGUUGAUGGUUCAAGUGAUGGCAACAGGAAUGCAAUUGCUUUCCAAAAUCAUAUUGAAUAAUGGAACAUUUGUGCUUGCACUUAUGACCUAUAGGCAUAUAGUUGCUGCCGUUUGCAUGGCUCCCUUUGCUUUCUACUUUGAAAGGUAUGUCAUCUUGUCAUCAAUCAAUUUCGUCUCUGUCUUUGACACCAUUUUUCUCAGUUUCUUUUUAUUACUGCUGUGGUUGCAGAGGCAUGAUCAAAAGUAAGAUGAACUGGUCUGUUUUUUUCUGGCUUUUUGUUAACAAAAUACUGGUAGAUAAAACUAAAAUAAAAUAAACUGAAAAAAAUCAAUAUUGAUUUCCUAGACAAUUAAAUAGUGUUUUAGGCGUUGCUAAUAUUUCUUAAAUUAAAUAAUCCUUUUAGUAUUAAAAAUAAGAAUUGAGAAAUAAUAAAGUUUUAAGGAUAAAGGACUCAUCAUUAACAAUAAGAUAAGAUUCAUAUUAUGUUAAAGUAUUUCAACAAGCAAAUAUCUUUCUUAUUUUAAUUUAAACAUGGUUAAUUUUAAUAUUAAUAUGCAUGCUAGGUUUUUUGAUUUUAUAUCAAUUACAAGUUUAAAUAUAUACUUAAUACAAAUGCUAUUCUAUUAUUUUUUAUUUUUUGUGUUGAAAGCAAAACUACUAAUGAAAAAUUACGAUUGGUUGAAUUUAAUGAGAGAAAGACUUUGGUAUGCUGAUCACACAAAUGAGAAGAAGAGGAGGGAGGAGGAGUAAUUUGAGGAGAAUAUUGAAGAUGAAAUUGUUGAAUGGAAAUGGAAGAGAAACAAAUUGAGAGAGGCACAGUGAAAACCCCUUAGAAAUUGAGAGAGGCAAUAUUAAUUUAUGGAAAACAUUGAUAUACUGAUAAAUUGAGUGAAAACUGAGAGUUUUUCCAAUAUUAAAAAAAAAAAAGCCAAGCACUCACGAGUUUUUCCAAGCUUUCAACCCAAAUGCAGGGAACUGAGAAAAUCCACAUUUUUCUCCACCAGAAUAGAACCACUGAAAGAAAGCCCACAGGAAACUUAAUGAAAAGAACAUGAACCCAUGCACCUGUUUCCUGCAAGGUAAUGGUUUUCUUUUUUGAGUUGUUUCGUACUCAACUUCUAUCUAGUGCUAAAUCAGCAAGAAUCGGGAACAAGACUCAUGCUUACCUAGCCAUCUUGUCUCCUGUAGGAGUGUGGAACCCAUUGAUGAGAACUGCAGUUGCAGUUCCACUUGGAUAACUCAAUUUGUAAUCUAUUAUCAUGAUCUGGGGCACCAAAAAAUGCAUGAUCAGAGACCAAUUCAAGCUUCAUAAGUAACAUACAGAAGAAGUCGAGAUCACUGUCGGUUAAGAUUCAAAUGAAGUUGAAAACUUGCAAUCAUCAAUUCAUGAAGAUUUACCUCUAGAACACCAGCACUAAUAAAACAUAAACAAUCGAUUCAUCAAGAAAAUUGAAGAAAACAUAUUACCUUUCGCAGAGGAACUAGAGCAAGUAGCCCAACGAAGCUGCUUACAAAGAGGAAACCAGUCAUCCAACCAAUCCCAGGUUCCUUGGUGCUCCCAGGAGUAUUCCCCUCUGUAUCAACCCCAGCUUGCUCAUAUGUCUUCCUAUUCAAACCCAGUAGAUAAGAUCCAAAACCACCUGCAAUUCAAUAAACAAAUCACAAUUCGGAACACAUUAAAAAGAUUAGCAAAACUUGUUCAAAAUAUAAACAACACAUGAGAUCGAAGUCUCAAACCUCCAACAGCAAUGCUAUAACAAACAACACAUGAGAUCGAAAACAAAUAUUUAUUGCAUAAUAUUAAUAAAAAAUAAAUAUCCAUUAUAAAAUAUUAAUGGUGACAAAAAUAUAACAUAUCUAUUAUUUUACAAGUUAGACUUGAAGGAAUUUCAGAGCAGCGUACCGGAAAUUAAAGAAAAUAUUUAGUGAAAGUUUAGGAAUAACAUUACUGAACCAUUACCGGAAAACAGAGCCCUCAAGAUUGGAGUUUCAAGGUUCUUGCGUACUAAAAGAUUUUUGUUUUCCACCAUCAACAAGGGAAAACCAAUCUUCAUCUGCUCUGUCCUUUUCCUCCUUGACCUCCAAGUCUUCGCAACCAUACAAUUAUUCAAUAUGGAACUGCAGGUUGAAUUAUUCAAUUGCAAAUAUUUCCAUACAAUUAGGUCCCUUUGUUCACUAUGCAAGAAUGUUGGAAACACGGCAAUUUUAAUUUCCAAAAUUGACAUCUUUCCAGCAAGUCUACGUGCGUGCACUUUGUGCUCUAAUUAUAACUCCCUUUUGUGUCUCGUCUGAUGACAACUGUUUUUUUUUUUUUUUUUGUUGAAAUCGAGAAUAGAUAUAAUAUAAAAAAGAAAGAAUAAACAGUGCGAGCAGGGCUUUAGCUUUAGCUACAUAAAUUGUAGCCUAGGCAUCAACCUACAUACAAUAAAUGAAUACAAGAAAACCUAUAACCCUACUAUCAGUCCAAGCAAAAAACAAACCCACACUAAAUCAAAAAUUAAGCAGACCAUGCCGAAAUGCAUUCAUGAUUCCUGUAUAGAUCGGCACCAGUAUACCAAAAGGAAGAGUUGAGAUUCCUGAUCCAUCCUGCAGCAAAGUAAAACAAAAGCCAUAGGAUAUCUUUCCAUAUUGGCUUUUGAUCCUCAAAUAUCAAGUUGUUCCUAGUAUUCCAUAUAGUCCAGACAAUGUUAAACAUAAAGCCCCCCCAAACAGAUCUUUCAAACUUACAGUGAUUGCCCUGCAAAAGACCCAGCCAUUGACAUUGAAGGUCGUCAAGGCCAUAUGGCAUUACCCAACUCAAACCUCUUCAAUCUACAAUUUUGUUCCAUAGUUUCCAAACCACUUGGCAAUGCAAGAGGAUGUGGGAUACAGAUUCUGAAUGUUGCUCACAAAAAGGACACUUGUCUUCCUGAGGGCUUAGAACAUGCCUCUUCACCAGGAAGGCUCUUGUGCAAAGGCCUUCAUUUAAGGCUAGCCAUAAAGUCAUUUCUGUUUUUGGAGGGCAAAUGGAUUUCCAUACAUUUGUGACAUAAGUAGGAGAACCAACAUACCUGAUUCUUUCAAGGGAAAGCAUACAAGAAUUGACAGUAUAAUCUCCGUCUUUCCCCCACUCCCAAAUCAACUUGUCUUCUUUCAAUCGAUGAAUAGCUGCAAGAUUAAGAUCAGACAUUAAGCUUUGAACCAUCAGGGUCUUACUAGCUUUGAGGGGCCUUCUCCAUUUCAGAUUCCAAUACCAAGUAUCCUCUAACCAGUAUCCCAUCUGACUAACAAACCCUGAUUUGGAGGAGGAUAGGUGGAAGAGGGUCGGGUAAGAAUUAGCUAAGCAAAAGCCAGUCAACCAAGUAUCUAACCAAAAUUUAACAUGAUUACCAUUACCCAUUUUAAGUGUACAAGCAGCUCGAAUAAGAGAGCUAUCAAGAUCCAAGCUAGUAAUAGUAGAGCUGAUUCCUCGCCAAAUCCCUGAAAGUUUUUUCUUGAACGUGGGCAUCCCAUUUAUAAACUAAGGUCUGUAUUUUGCUUUAAUAAAAUCUGCCCAACUAGCUUUAUCAUUGCUUCCUAAUUUUCAAAUCCACUUGAAGAGGAGAGCUUUGUUCUUUGCUGAAAUAUUCCCAACGCCUAGACCACCCAUUUUCUUUUCUUUUGUCAUUGUAUCCCAAGCAAGCCGAUGAAUUUUCCUGUUAUCAACACUCCCACCCCACAAAAACCGAGCCUGCAUGGAUGUGAUCUUGCGUGCCACUGUCUUCUUGGAGACUUCUACCCCUCUAUGCCUGGUUUUUCUUGGUAUCAUUGCAUCUUUGAAGUUUGGUUUUCCUUACAAUUUACUUUAUCUUUCAUUAGAUUUCUCUACAUUGUAAGAAAUAUUUUUUAAGUGGAUCAUAUGCCAUGUCAUGUUUUCAAAAUAAUAUUAAUUGUGUAUAUAUUAUAAAAUUUAUAAAUGAUAAUUAAAUGCUUGGAGUCCAUUGCUCUCGAAUGAUGAACCAAGUACAAUACAUAAUGGAUGAAAGUGAAAAAAUCAGAUUAAUGAAAGGAUCCCUAUGCAAGCCAUAUUAAAUAUUACGUAAUGUCAUGUAACCUCCAUCAAAAUAUAGAAAAUUUAAAGUUUGGUAUUGACGGUUCAAUCAUAGUAUGGGCUAAAUCCACUCAUUUGACAUGUGUUGAUCAUAAUACAAAUAAUAAAAAAUAAUUAAGUCAUAAAUACAAUUAAAAUUAUAGAGAUUAAAUGUAUGGUUUGCAAAACUACGUACUAGGAUUAAGUUAUAAUUAACUCAAAUAAAAAAGAAAUUUAUGCAAAGGCUCGGGUUCCCUAGGUUUCAAGGACGAAGAAGUGCUUUUUAGGACCCGUUGAUAGAAAACUGUAUAAAAGUGAUUACAAUUACAGAGAGAAAAAAAAGAGUAAGAUUUUAGAAGAAUUAGUGAAUUAAAAGAGAAGGAGGAGGAGUGAGAAAUGGUGGAUUGGUAAUUUAGAAGAAUUAAAUGCCAAUAACAGUUUAAUCCUCGGAACUAGGAGACGAUAAUGCAUUAAUCGAGAUUAAGUUGUGUCUUUUUCCAUCAAAUAGCUAGUCCGCUUGGCAAGAACACAAGUAUUAAAAAGAUUAGCAAAACUUGUUCAAAAUAUAAACAACACACGAGCACAAGUUUGAACUAUGGUAUUCUCUUGUCGGGUAAAGGGAGUGGUUACAAUUCCAGCCUUUGAGAGGAGCUUAGUCCAUGUUCUGAGGAACAUAAAUGCAAGAAGACCAGUGGUGAGAUUCAGCUUCAUGACUAUAACACUGUAUAUGAUCCCAAUUGCUAUGCUAGCAACAAUUCCCCUAACUGUAAUCUGUUUAGUCCAUGGAGCAAUCCUCUUGAUAUCCAUGUUCAUAUUCAUCACAAUCUUCUCACCAAUACAAUCAACAAACCAAACUCAUCAUCUUGAAUCCAAUAGAAUGAUUUAUAGAAGCUAAACCACACAUCAAGAAAAUCUGAUAAAACUACAAAAAAUAAAAAAUUGAAUAAAACAAACGUCAUGAAUUAUAUUACCUUAUAAGCCUCCUCCUUUUUCUUGCUCCUCUUCUUCUUUCGACCACAGCUUCAAAAAGCACCCGAAGAAUCCAACUUCCUCAGUCAACUACUAACAAGUCUCCAUCAAUCAAUACAAGUAGAUGCAAGAGCAUAUAGCUUCCUUCAGAAAGACAACAAAACAUUCAAAUCAACACAUGGGCAAGGGCCAGCCUCUAAGUUGACUUAAGGAAACUCUCCAAGAAAAACAGACGGCAGCAGACGAACUUGAUUCGAGGCCUUCAAGAAAAGCCCAAAAACCAUAAAUAUUGCUUCUUCCAAAGCAAUAAUCAAGAGCAUUAAUUGUCAGGCCAAGAGAACAAAAACCCAAGCUUCUUAUAUGGCAACAAAACACAGCAAUUGUUUUUCUUAUUUAUACUAAAUUUAAGCACCACCAGCCCACCAACCAGCAUUUUCUAUGUACUGCAAAGAAGUACAAGGCAAGGCUGCGUUGUAGUACAACACUCAUCAGAACUCCAACGAUGGCUGCUAUACAUUUGAACAGAUGUCAGGUUCAUAAAUUUGAUCCUCGUCUCGUUGACUUAUUACCACCACUUUUCACGCUCUCUUCAUCCUUGUAGUACAGAUAUAGAGAGAAGAAAAGUGGGUAAACUUUUCUGAACAGUAGCUUUGCCACUAUUUUUAUGCUAGAACUGGUAAACUUCCAAAGGGUAUCAACUCUUUUUUUGUAACUCUGAUUCCGAAAUCAAAGGAGCCGAGCAGAUUCUCCCAUUUUCGUCCGAUAAGCCUGAUUCACGGGCUAUACAAAAUAGUGGCAAAGCUACUGUCCACUAGGCUUCGUCAUGUCAUGACAGAUGUGAUCAGUGUUAACCAGUCUGCAUUUAUUGCUGGGCGUCAGAUUCUAGACGGGUUCAUGAUAGCAAAUGAGGUUGUCCAUGGUGUGCGCAGCAAGAAGAAGCAUGGCCUCUUAUUGAAGGUAGAUUUCCAUAAAGCCUUUGACUCAAUUUUAUGGGAACAUAUUGACACAAGUAUGGGAUACAUGGGUUUUGGCUCACACUGGAGGAAGCUGAUAUUCGAAUGCUUAUCCACUUCAAAAUUAGUCAUCUUGAUAAACGGUUCUCCUAGUAGAGAAUUUAGUUUGGAGAGGGGUCUCAGGCAAGGGGACCCACUCUCUCCAUUCCUAUUUGACAUUGCAGUUGAGGGAUUGACAGUUUUAUUCAAUAGGGCAUCAGCUUCAGGUUACUUCAAAGGCUUACAGACUACCCCAGGUCAUUACUUAACUCAUUUGCAAUAUGCCGAUGACUCUCUGAUUUUCUUGCCAAAUGAUUUUCCCUCUCUUCUACAUGCCAAGAGGAUUCUACGUUGGUUUGAGAUCAUUUCGGACUGAAAGUUAACUUCUAUAAAAGCUCACUAAUAGGUAUCAACUUGGACAACGACUACACCUCUAGCCUGGCGAACUCAGUUUUCUGUCGUAGUGAUACUUUCCCGGUUAGGUACCUUGGACUACCUCUUGGAGCCAAUCCCAGCAGACUCUCUACUUGGAAACCAGUGUUGUCCACUAUCAGAGCAAAGCUACUCACAUGGAAAGGGAAUUUUUUGAGCAUGGCGGGAAGGUUAUGUCUAAUUAAAUCAGUCUUGAGCUCUCUUCCUCUGUUUUACAUGUCAGUUUUUGCUAUGCCAAAGGGUGUUACUAAAGCCAUCUCUUCUCUAACCCGGUCUUUCCUUUGGAAAGGAAGCUCAACUUCUCAUGGCCUUUUUAAGGUGGCUUGGCACAAGGUAAUAAAGGAUAAAUCUUCUGGUGGUCUCGGGCUGGGAUCCAUCCACAACAAAAAUCUGGCUUUGCUCUUUAAAUGGCUAUGGAAUCUAGACAAUGGAGUGGCAGGAGGCUGGCAAGAACACAUUCUUCUAAAAUACCGACCUCACUUUAUAAAUGGUAUCCCUGAGUUUGCAGGUUCUUUAUCUCCAACUUGGCAUGGCAUUGUUUCGGCAAUCUUCUCAACACAAAACAUAGCCAAUCUUUUACAUGCAAAUGUCGGGUUCAAGGUGGGUGACGGGAGGAACAUCCGGUUUUGGACUGACUCUUGGCUCGGCUCUGCAACCAUCUCCAGCUCUUAUUCCCCAGACUUUAUAACCUCUCCUUGCAGCAAAACACCAGCCUUGCAGAUAUAUACAAUUUGACAGAUGCAUCUUUAAACCUUCCUGGAGAAGAACCCUUCGGCCUCGUGAGAUCUGCCAAGGGAGAGCUUGAUCGCAGAGGUGCAGCGUGGUCUCCUUUUCUCAGAUGGUGCAGACUGCAAGUUAUGGAAAUUCCACAGCUCUGGCAUGUACUCAGCUCAAUCAGGUCGCCUCUUCUUUGAUAGUCUAUCGGCCACUGAAAAUAAUCACUCCCUACUCUGCUAUGGAAUGGUUAUGCCCCCCCAAAAGUGGAUGUGUUCAUUUGGCUUCUUCUUCAUGGAGGUUUGAGUACAAGAAGUUUUUUAGCUGAGAGGAGAAUCAUAAAUUAUGAGGAAUCUCACUGCCCAUUCUGCUGCAAGGAAACCGAGAUAAUUAAUCAUCUUUUCCAUUGGUGUCCUAUAACAUGGUCUCUUUGGGGUCGUUUCUUGAAAUGGUUCGGGUGCUCAGGUUGUCUGCACAAAGACCCAAAUCAAAAUCUACAGGAAUGGUCCGGAUUGAUUAAUGGAAAAUUUCAGCGACGUGCUAUUACCCUCCUCUGUAAAGGUCUGUAUUGGUCAAUUUGGAUAGCGCGCAACCGCCUAAUCUUCGAAUCCAAGGCUCCUGAUUGGGAUAUGAUUUUUGAUCUCACUUUUCACCGUUUGGCUUUCUGGUUGAAGUCCUCAGUUACAAAUUUCAGCUAUACAGGCUCAGAUCUUUUUAGAAAUCCUGAAUGUAUUAUGAACUGGACUAACUAAUUAAGUCCCUCAUCACUUUGGUCUUUUCUUUCUUCAUAUUUCCAUUGUAUUCUAUCUUUCGUUCAGCCCCACUUACUUGAUGGGGCUGCUUAUUUAAUAUAUAAUUAUCUCGUUUACUAUCAAAAAAAAAAAAAAAAAUGUGGGCAAUCGUAAGCAUAAAAUUGCUUAAAGUGAAAAGCAAGAAAUGGAACUGCUAACUGGGAACUGGCGACUUCACUUGAAAGCAAGCUUGUCAAUUCUAUUCUGGUAAGUGUUUUGUUUUUUUAAUUAAAAUAGAAUAUUUUAGUUUUGAAACGUUUGAGCGUACCGUUUCGGGGUUGUACUGUUCAUAUAUAUAUAUACUGUUCAUAUAUAUAUAUAUAUAUAUAUAUAUAUAUAUAUAUAUAUAUAUAUAUUCAUCAAACAUAAUUCAAAUUUAAGAUAAAUUAAUUAUAAAUUAUGCAAUACAAACACAAUACUAAACAAAUAUAAUUUCAAAAUUUAAAAUAUUUUUAAAUAGUAAAGAUUAAAUAGAUAUUUAACUUAAAGUACUUCAACUUAAAUAAAAUAUCAAAAUAUUAUGAAAGUAAAAUGUUUUAACAAAAAUAUUUUAAAUAUAAAGUUAGGUCAAUGUUAUCAAGUGGCUAAUAGAAUCUGAAGCAUCCCUUGUUUUACUUAAAUUCCUACAAGGUCUAAACAUGAAAAAAAAUAACAUGAAUAUAAAUCAUAUAUAUUAGUGAUAAAUCUAAUUUUAAAAAAUUAAUAUUAUUGUUAAUGAAAAUAGUAAUAAUAAUUUUCAACAUUAUUAUUAAUAUCAUUGCUAUUGAAAAUAGUAAUGAAAAAGAGCUUUUUAUAAUCGGGUGGUUUAAUUAAUGAAAUUGAGUAAAGUUCAAUUUGAUUCAAUGGCUUUUCAAGAGCGGAACGGAACAUGUGGAAUGAAAUUGGAACGUUUCGGGCGGAAUUUAACCGAAAAAUCCGGAACGGACCGAGAUUUAAAAUAAGAUGAAAUUUGUUCCGUUUUGUUCCGUUUUUUGAAUUGGUAUGGAAUGUUUCAGCCAUUUCAAACGGAACAGAACGGAAUUGACAACCUUGCUUGAAAGUGCCUUCCCUUUACAGUCAAAACAUGUGUAUGGCAAGUUAAAAGUGGAUCUUGAUCCCUCUACUCUUAUUUCCCUUAAUUUAUCACCUUCUAUCUUGAUAUCACUCUCUUUAUUAUAUUCUUUAUUUUAGUCAACUGUAGCCUAGCCGUGAGACACCUCAAUCCCAACCUAACUUGUUUGGAUUAGAACCCAAAGACUGCUUCGUUAAAGAUUGAUAUUUAUUUAAUCAACUAUUGUACUAUACUAGGCAAUGACGUCGUUUAAUACUAAAAAAGUAAACAUUUUCAAUAGGAUGUUCUCUUAUCCCACGCAUAAGAAAAAAAAAAAUGUCACGAGAGAUUAAUUGUUAAGGGGUUAUAUUGAAGAAAAAAUAGUAUGAGGAUCAAAUUAACAUAGAGUGUAUAGUGGAAGGAUAAAAAAGACAACAUUAGCAAGGCGUGUGGCCAAAACAUGUCAAAGUCAGUUAAGAAGAGGAAAAAGGCCAAUUUUGAGGCCAAUAAUAUAGAAAUCUAAAAAAAAAACGAUAGAUGAUUGAUGUAAGAAAGAGAUAUGAUACGGAUGGUGGGGUGGGCCUCCGAAAUGGUGGGGAUGGUAUUCAUUGAAUGCCGAUUUUAUCAACCUUUAGAUGGGAUAACUGUUUCUGACCAUUAAUUUCUAGUUUAUAAAAUGAUGUGAUAAGAAUAGUUAUGUUAAAAAAAAUUGUGUUUUGAAUUUUAAAAAAAAAUAAGUUUUUUAUGUUUUAAUAUAAAAAUAAAUUUUGAAAACUAAAAAAAUAUAUAAAAUAACUAUUAACAUAAUAAUAGACUGGCAAUGACAUAGUUUUUUAAAUAUGAUUCUUUUUAUGCUACUUGAAAUUUAUGCAUGUUCUCUAUUUUAAAAAAUAAAAAUAUUAUUUAAAUAUAUUUUUAAAAAUAAUUAUUAUUAUAAUAUCAAACAUGUAUUGAUAUUGAUCUUGCUAAAUUUAAGAUAAUAUUGUUUCAAGAUUGUUUUUAUAGAAAAAAGUUAAAAUGUUAUCAAUUUAACCGGAUUGAGUUUAAUAUCUAUAAGAAAUUAUUUUUAGUAAAUUAGAGUAGGUCAUAAAAAUUUAGUCUAUUGGUAGAUGGAAUAAACUACACAUGAAUUUAUAAUAUGAUUGAUUUACUUCAUGUAAUUUAAAUUAAAGAAAAAAAACAUACAAUUCCUCUGCCUCAAAAUAAAUGAAAACAAAAAUACAAACGAAUUAUUGAAUUUUCAAGUGAUUUUAUUGUUCCUAUUUUGAAACUUGAAAUGUAAUAAUUCCUCAUCUAAUUUUUUAAUCGGGUGCAAUAAUUUAUUAUUUAUCACUUAGUUUACAAAAUAAAAUAAAACAUUUAUUUCAAAGCGUUGAUUUAGUAAUUAAUCCAAUUGUUUUCUACUGUGAUCACUUUGAUUCUGGGAUUGAGAGUGAUAAAUUAUCAUCGAAUUAAUUUUGAAAAUUAUCAUCGAAUUUAUCUAAAAAGGGAAUUACUUAGCGUGAGUAUCUCUCUUAUCAAGAUUGAUAGUUACGUGCAUUAGGGGAACCCUUUCGUCAUAGCACAAUCGUUCUUUUGCACCAAAAAGUCAUCAAAAAAUUAUUCCAAAACAAACACCACAGACACCAACCCACCCUCCAAGAAGCAAACAAUUUUGCUGAAAGGAAUAUGCAAUAAAUAUCUCCGUUUAAAUCACCUUAAUUCAGUGGAAAAUUAUGUGCGCCUUAUUUGUACAUUAAGCUAUGUGCAUGCAUCAAAGUGUGGUUUGAUUUGAUUAACUGCUUGACAUAAAUAAAAUGAAAAGAGUUCUUUGGCAUUUUUUAGAUGAAAAAAAAAUUACAAUGUUAUGAUAUUUGUUUUUCUCUGACCCAAGUUUUGUGGAUAUGAAGCAGUGAAGAUGUUGAAGUUACAUCUAGACUGCAAAAUUCAACUCCUUGGUUAUUAAAACUUAAAACUUGGUAAAAAAAUCUAGAUUACGAGUUAAGCUCUAUUAAUUAAAAUAAUAUUAUUUUAUUUUUUAAAAAUUAAAUUAAAUUUUAACUAAAUCAACUAAAUCAUGAACUAAUCAGUUUAAUAGUUUAUUACCAAUAAAUUAUGCCAUUUUACAUUUACUUAUUUUUUUGGGAGUAAGAACUCAAUUUUGAAAGGGACGGUGAGUUUCAGUUUUGAACUUUAUUUUUACCUUUUAUUGGAACUCAAUAUUGAAAGGGACGGUUAGUUAUAGUUUUAAUUCUAGGUGGGCUCGAUUGGAUGAGUUAUAGCAAGGUUGUCAAAAACAUUUUUUUGACACGACACGGAACAUACAAUAUAAACUCGACUCGUAAACUCGAAUCGUAAAAUCGUAAAAUCAAAAGUAAAAUUUUUUAACUAAAAAUCGUAAAAUCGCAAGUAAAAUAUUUUAACUAAAAUCGUAAAAUCGCAAAAUAAACAUAUUGCCACUUGUAGUUUUUUUAGAAGCCAUGUAUCCUACAAUUCAAGAAUCAUUUGUAUAAGCCAACACAAAGAACAUAAUAUUUAGCAUGCAGUUAAGGCCUGGAAUUGAUGAGAUGAUUCUGUUCCCUGCAGCGAAAGUCUUAGCCUAAGGGGCAUUAAUCAAUAGAGAUCUGUGUAUAGGCAGCUCACUCUCAAUUCUCAAAGCAUACGUGGGUAAAAUACCUUUGCAAAAUAUAGCUACGCAAGAGUUCAAAACAACAACAAUCAAACUUAAUUUUAUCAUCAAAUUCAAAACAACUUAGUUAACUAACCGGGACCAUCUAUAAAACCGAAAAAAAUACACACUUCACUCACAGAUUCACAGAUUCACAGAUUGCAGAAUUACAUAAUCUGCAACACCGCAAGCAAGAUCAAACUGAAAAAAAUUCACACUUCACACUUCACAGCAUGCCCAUUGCCCAGAUCAAACCGAAAAAAAUUCCCCGGACAGAAGCAAACCACUUAAUUGUAGAAUACCCAGAAGGGCCAGAACAUAAACAUGGAUUCACAAUUUCACAGCAUACCCAAAUCACAGCAUACCCACCAUUAGACAGAAAAUAACAAAGCUUGGGAUGGGAUUGAGAAUCAAUGCUUACCUUCGUCUCGCCAAGAACAGAGAGGGGACGAUUGGCGAAGUCUGGGUCCUCUGGGACUCUAGACUCUGGAGUCAAGGAGGGUAUGAGUCUGUGAGACAAGGAGUCAGGUUUAUCGAAGAUCCAACUACACUCUCCUUAGCCAGCAGGUAGAAGAGCAACAGCAAGCAGCGGCAGCAUACUACGAGUCGUCUCUCUCAGGUGACUCAAAAAACAACAAACUAACAAUAAAGCAAGAGAGAAGCUUCGUGGAUUGGGAGUCGGAUCAUAGAUCAAUAGCAAAUCAACAGCAAGGAAACAGUAAUCGAAUUGGUUUGUAUCCAUCCUCUGCAGCGAUCGGGUUACAAAGGCAAUCGAGCGGGAGUAGUUUCGGAGAGAGUUCGUUAUCGGGAGAGUAAUCGAAUUGGUUUGUUUCAUUGCUAAAUGCUAAUUUCCAUUUAGUUCCCGUGACUGUGAGCCCAUGCGUGACAUUUCAUUUAACUCGUGAAAACGUAACGGUUUUAACGUUUUUUGCGAGUUGAUCCGAUUUUUUGCGAGUUUGACUCGGUUUUAUGCGAUUUUAAUGGUUUUCGAGUUUUGCUUCCGUUUCUACACGUUUUGCUGGUUUUAACUCGUAAAAUCGUACGAUUUUACGAGUUAAAACGCAUUUUUAACAACCAUGAGUUAUAGUUUUAAUUCUAGGUGGGCUCGAUUGGAUUUCUUUGUUAAAAAAAACAAUAACAUGAUCAAUAUCUUCAAAUCAACAUUAGUGAUGUUGAUAUAAUUAACAUUUUUUGUACAAUAGGAUGUUUUGAUAAGCUUUUGAUUGCACUAAAAAAAUUACAUCCAUGUUCAGAGUACUGAUAUAUUUUUUAAGAAAUUAAUUAUUUUGUCCAGAGGAUUCGAGCAUUAAAAUAUAAAAAUAUGGAAGAUACUUAAUAUUUACCAACAAAACUAAGCCUGUGAGAGUUCACUUCAUACGAAUAGAUAUCUAUGUUGACAAAUUAUUUGCCACUUGAAGUUGAAGAUCAUGGCGUUUAAAAUGAAAUUAACGCAUUAUAAGCUAAUUAUAGCUAAUUAUGUGGAUUCCAACUCAUAAUUAGUUUCAUGUUAGGAGCGUGAUUCCAUGUUUUACUUAAGAAACAUUGAUUUGCACUUAUAUGCCACUUGAAGCUGAAGGCCUUUGCAUUUAAAAUUAGGUUAAUGCAUGUGGUGAGUAAGCUAUUAAUUUAUUGUGGUUUCCAACUUCAAAAUUCGAGAAUCAAUUAUAUUGUGGGUUAGUGAUAAAAUUUAAAAGAAGGAGCAUUCUUGAUUUCUUUCAUGUUAAAAGCAUUAAUUACAUGCCCUGCUUUAAAAAAAAUCAUGAUUAAUUUGCUAUACCAUAUUUGUUUUAACAAAAAAAUAGAGUGAAUCAUGCAUUGCGUGAAUAAAUAUAACUAACAUUUCAAACCUAUGUAUUUCGUAUCAAUACGUUAAAUAAAGAGUAUAGAUUAUAUCUCAUUUAGUUUAUAACUAGAUAUGUUGUCGGUAACAAUUUUUUUAAUAUAAAAAAAAUGAUAGAUUAAAAAAAUCCAACAAUAACAACAAAUAAACUGACAACAAAAAAAACAUAUAUGAGCCUAUUUGGAUUACUACACAACCCAAUGUUAACCUAACUGAAUAAAAAAAGAAAGAAAAAGAGAGUCAAACUUUAAAAAAAAAAUAACAAAUAACAAAAAAUAUUGACUAAAAAAAAAGGAUAAAAAAAUCAAGCAAACCUAUGCUUGAAAUAUCGCAAUUAUUGCAAACAAAAAAAUUAGGACCAAACUUGCAGAUGAAAAAAUCAUAGGGUGUGAAAUUAAAAUUUUUUUGUAAUAUGAUAGAAUAUUUAUAGAUUUAAAAAUGGUGGGGGUUAAAUAUAAAAAAAAUUAUCGAGGGCUAACCCUAUAGAAUCAAACAAAAAAUAAAUUAAAAUAGAGAAUUAUACAAAAAACAAAUAUAAAAAAAAGUUUUAAAAGAGGAUAAAAAAUAAGACAACAUCAAUUUAGAAAAAGAAAAAAAAAGGUAAAUCUCUUAAACCUGAUUUAAUAUCUAAAAGUCGCAUCCUUUGAAAUGUUUUACCCAGAUUCAAUAAAAAAACAUAAUUUUCAACCAAUUUAAUUUUGAAAGAUGAAAUCGGUAGAAAAAUAUUAAUAAAAAAUCUCCAAAAAAAAAACAUUAAAUAUGAAGAAAAAUUUGAUAGAAAAAACCUAAGAAUGAUGCAAUUUAAUGAAAAAAAAAAAAACAUAAUCCAAAAUAAAAUAAAUAUCAAUUAAAAGAAUAAGAACCAAAUUAUAAAGAUUAAGCAAAAAUCAUAGGUGGUGAAAUUGUAAACAUAUAUAAAAACUAAGUAAACCCGAGCAACAUCCUCAAUAUGGUCAAAUCUUAAAAAGCUUGCAGCCUAUGAAACCCUGAAUCCGGAUUCUAUCAAUAAAUUUAUUACAAGCCGAUUUAAAAAUAUAAAUUUUAAAAACUUAUCAAAAAAAAAAAACAAAACAAAAAAAAGCUUGGAGCGAAACUGACUGUCAGCUCAAGUAAACAAAUCAAACAUACGGUUUAGGAUAUGAAAUUAAGAUGACUCUAUAAAUAGAAAAGCUAAAAAAACACUAACAACAAACAUAUUAAAUCAGGCUAAUCCUUCAGAUCUAGUACCUAGGUCAUGAGAUUGAAAUGACCACAUCAAAGGCAUACUUGAUAAAACAAAAAAGCAAGAUUCUUCAUCAAACAAAUAUUGAAUGAUGAAACUGAGAAAAAAAAUAAACCAAAAAAACAUUGUAAAAUAAAAACAAUAGCAAUAAAAAAAAUAGAACUAAAUUUUACAUAAAAAUUAAAUGAAAUUAAAUAUUUAGGAAAAAAUCAAAUCAAAUAUUUAGGGAUGAAAUUGUAAAAAACAAAUUCAUUAAGAAAAUGAUUUAAAAAAUAGCAAUUUAAAAAAUUAAGACCAAAUUUGACAUAAAAAUUAAAUAAAAUUAAAUACCUAGAGGUGGGAUUAGAAAAGGAUAAAUCAAUCAAGAAAAGAUUAAAAACAAAACAAAUAAAAAUUAAAUUAAUGAGUACCAAAUUUGAAAAAAAAAUCAAAAAAUCAAAUGACCACAGAUAAAAUCAAGAAUAAAAUUUAAUUAUAAAUAAUAAAUAUAAAUAAAACAAUUGCAAAUAAGAGAAAAGAGACUGAAUCAGAAGAAGAAAUAAAAUGAAGGGCUAGUAUGCAUUUUUUCCUAGUAUGAAUUUUUUCAUGGCCAGCACACAAUCUAAAAAAGAAAGAAAGAGAAGGAAAAUAAAAAAAAUAAAUAAAAGUAAUUUCAAGCUAAAUCACAUUGAACCACUAUAUAUGUGUCAUCCAGAGAGGAAAAGGACGCUGGAAUGAAUUAAAUGAUGUGGCAGAAUCAUGGUUACAACUAUAUGAGCCAACCGCACGCGCCGCCAAAAGGUGGUGGAGCAGCUAACUUGUGCGAGACAUGUGUCAAUUGCUGUUUUGUUUUAUAUUUUUUUUGUGAAAAAAAAUGAAAAUGUCUUUUGUACUAAAUAAUAUUAACAAACAAAUUAUGGUGAAACUACAACUAAGCCCCUGUAGCUAAAGUUAAAAAACUCAAAUUGUAAGGACAAUGUAGUAAUUUAAUUGUGCUUUUUAAAUGUGAAAAUACAAAAACGCUCUUAUGCAAAAAGCAUUGAAUAAUUUUAUUCAAGAGUUACAUUAAUAAAUUUUCUAUGAAUUUAAAAAUGCAAUUACUGAAAUAACCCUAUAUAAUCGUUAAAAGAUAUUUAUGUUAUGGUAAAAGGAUUGCCUUACCCUCGAAGUAAAGACAAGAUAAAAUGACCACGAAACAAAAUAAUAAUUAUACUAUUGUAAUAAAUAAUAAUUUAUAUCUCGGGACAUAAUAAUGUCAGUAAGGGGUUUAAUGUUUUGGAUAAUUCUAUAAAUAUUCAAGUAUACAUGUUAUGCUUGUAAAAAACAAUAGAGAUAGCGGGGCCAAAUGAUAUAUGUCUCCUUAUACUCUUUUGUUUUAAAAAUAUAUAAAUUCAUUCUAGAAUUAUUCUAAAAUUGAUUUAUUUUAUAUCUUCUUUUUAUCCUCCAAUGAAACAAGUUUUAAUCUCUUCUAAAAAACUAUAUAAAAAAUACUAACCAAACAUUACCUUGUUUCCUUGUGUAAAUAUUAAUAAAAAAAUGUUAAAUAAAUGAUAAAUGGUAUAAUAUUUGUUUUUCUUUGAGAUCAAGUUGUUCAAAGAAAAUAGAAAAGUGUGGGUUGAAUCCCAGGACCUCUUGGAAAGUCCAUUGUAUUUUUUUAUAUUAUUUAUAAUCUAAUUUCUAUGAAAUUCUAGAAAAUUUUAUAGCACCAUAAAUAAUAUACAUUUAAUUGGAUUUGGAUAAUAUAGCCUCUUUUAUUGAAAUUAAAUCUCUCCUUAUAUUAUUUCUUUUCAUAAAAGUAUUAUUAUUAUUAUUGCUAUUAUUAUUGUUAUUUUAUCAUAGGACUUUGAAAAAAACUUCAUUACACGUAGAAGUAGAAAGUAGAAAGAAGGUUUAAAGGAUAUUUGAAAGGGUGAUAGUGAUUACUUUUCAAAGUAAUUUUUAUUUUAAAAAAUAUUAAAAUAAUAUUUUUUUUUAUUUUUUAAAAAUUAUUUUUGACAUCAACAUAUGAAAAUAAUUUUAAAAAAUAAAAAAUAUAUUAAUUUGAAGCAAAAAAAAUUUAAAUUUUUUUAAAAACACUUUCGAAACACAAUGCUAAACAUGGUCUUAGCUUUGCCCUGUUUGUUUUUACGUUUCAAAAGUAUUUUUAAUUUUUUUUUAAUUUUUUUACUUUAAAUUAAUAUUUUUUUAAUAUUUUUAAAUCAUUUUAAUACAUUAAUAUCAAAAAUAAUUUUAAUAUAUUUUUUUAUAUAAAAUAUUUUAAUAAACAAUACCAAUUACACUCUUAAACAAACUAAUAAUGCUUUACCCCAAAAUCUAGCGUGUCCUUUCCCACCCCAACCCUAACCACCCAUUACAGCCCAAACCCUCACCACCACCACCACAUAAAUUUACAAAACCCCAACACGCCACCCAAAAAGAGCACCAAGCAAAGGAUAUUAUUGUACUUUAAACACAAAUACAAAAUCAAUGAGGGGUUUGUCAGAGACAGUUUUUGCAAGAACCAGUGCAGCUUUAAGCUGUUUGUUAUUGUUUACUGGGCUCUGGAAACCUUACCUGAAUCGCGAAGCAUCAAAGAAAGCCCUUGAACAUAAGAAGGAAAUCGAUAAGCGUUUGGGUCGUCCCUUUAUCCAAACAAACCCUUAUGAGUGGUGUGAGUGUGUCAAAGUUUCUGUUUUUGUUGAAAAGUUUGGAUUUGUUUUUUGCAUUUUUUGAUUUGGGUUUUUUUUAGGGGGGGCUUGGAGGAUCUUGUGAAUCUUGGUUAUAGGGGUCAUUAAUGGAAUAUACGGUUUGUUUUGGUUUAUUGUUUUUUGGAGGAUUUUGUGAAUUUUGGUUAUAUGGUCAGUUAAUGGAACGAAGAAUUUUGUGAAUUUGGAUUAUAAGGUUAGUUAAUGGCAUAUAGGUUUUGUUUUUAUUAUGUGUUAUUGUUAUAUGCUUAAAUUGUCAUUUACCUACAAAAGUUGGAAUUUUGUGUAUGAUAGUGGGGUUGAAGUUGAUAUUGCAAUGAGGGAUGUGGGUGGUUUAUUGUAGGGAAUAGGGAUUGGGGGAGGGGGGGUUAAGUGCUUUAGUGUAGAAAGGUGCUUUAAUUAGUGUUUAGGAUAUGGGGAGUGAUUGCUUGUGCCGAAUGAGAUGAGAUUAAGUUUCCAGUUUUGCUGGGAUGAAUGGAGUUGCUUUGUGGUAGUUGAAACUAAGUUCAUUUCAGAUUGAGUUAUUUGUUGAACUUUUGAACUGGUGGGUUGGAGUUUAGGCCUCUAGGUUGUUGAAAAGUUCAAAUUCUUGUGUGACAAUAGAGAUGGGGGCUAUGAGAUUAAGAUUGCGAUGAGGGAUCCUGGUGGUUUAGUGGGUUAUUGUAGGGAAUAGGGAUUGGGGGGGAUUUGAGUGUUUUAGUGAAGAUAGGUAAUUUAAUCAAUUUUUGGAACGUGGGGAGUGACUCCUUAUGCUGAAUAGGGUGUGUUUAAGUUUCCAGUUCUGUUGGGAUGAAUGAAGUUGUUUUGUGCUGGUAGAAACUAAGUUCAUUUCUGAUUGAGUUGUAUAUUAAGCUUUUGUACUGGAGCAUUGGAGUUUAGGCCUUUAGGUCGAUGUUAUAGCAUGCUUGAAUUGUCAUUUAUUUGCAAGAAGUUUGAAUUUUGUGUGAUAAUGGGAUGAGGACCAUGAGGUUAAGACUGCAAUGAGGGAUGUGUGUGGUUUGGUGGGUUAUUGUAGGGUAUCAGGGUGUUUUGGUGAAGAUAGGUGCUUCAAUCAGUUUUGAAGAUGUUGGGGAGUGAUUGCUCGUGCUGAAUGAGAUAUGAUUAAAUUUCAAGUUUUGUUGGAUGGAUGGAGUUAUUUUGGGUUGGUGGAAACUGGAGACCAAGUUUGUUUCUGAUAUAUUGGAACUUUUGCACUGCUGCGUUGACCUCUGGGUUGGUGCUAUAGUACUGUUGUUACAACCAUAGACAAUUAUAAUAUUUCAUGGUGUCUUCAAACGUGCCAUUUUUUUCCAUGCAGUCUAUACUUUGUUGGCUGCUACUAUGCAACAAAUAAUCAGAGUUUCUAAUGUCAACUGAAUACCUGAAAAUAGCCAUCAUAUGGAGUAGAUUUGAGUCUCUGCUAUAUCAUAAACUAAUGGCACAUGAUUAUUAGUUGCAUUUAUGUGAGUCCACCUUUUUUGAAAAUGAUACUACGUGAACACUGAUGGCUGCUAUGUUCAGUAAUAGCCUCCUGCGUGACUGACUGGGACAAGUUCAUAGUUGGAAGAAAUUAAAUUUGAAGGCUUGGUCUUAACCAAUAUGAUUGCUAUAACUGGAAAACAUAGAUAUUACUUCCUUCUAUGCCUGAUGAAUUUUGGAUCAAAACCCAACUUUUCAAUUAUGAAGCCUUCUGAUUGCAAUUGCUAUGUGGAAGAUUUAAACUGCUUUGUAACGAUCAAGCCUAUCCUCUCAACACUAUCCAAUAUGGCCAUGUUCUCAUAUUGAAAAUGUAAUUGAUUGGGAUAGAGGCUUUAUAAUUUAUGGUCGGUUUAAUGGUUUAUCAAUAUGCUGCAAUUGUGUAUUUUUAUUUUUGAAUCAAUUGGAGGAUUGGAAUCUAACAAGCAAGCUUUGUAUGAACUGGUGAUUCUUCCUCUGCGGAAACCUGAGCUCUUCUCACAUGGGAAACUUCUUGGUCCACAAAAGGGGGUAUUGUUAUAUGGACCUCCAGGCACCGGGAAGACCAUGCUUGCAAAAGCUAUUGUCAGAGAGUCUGGAGCUGUUUUUUUAAAUGUGAGGAUCUCUAAUCUGAAGAGCAAGUGGUUUGGCGAUGCACAAAAGCUCUGUGAGUAUAGAUUGCAUUUGAAUUGCCUCUCUUGUGCUGGAGCUUUUUCUUGCAUUUAGCAAAACAAUGAUGAUUUAAAAUUAUUGCCUUUUUAUUCUAAAACUUGCUGUCACCCACUGAUUAUGUUGAGUGAAAUUUAGUUUCACUCUGAUAAUGGAAACAAGGUAGUACUUUGUGAACAUUCAUAACUAAAAUUGAACAUUCCUAACUUGUCCUUGUUGAAGAUCUUUAUUAGCAGCAAGAUUUUGUUGGAUGCUCUAUUAACUUUUAAAAACAGGGCACUGUAGCUUGUUUAUCUAAUGGAUCUUACUCCGAUAAAUGAGGUUGUGAAAUGAUCAAAAUAUUGGUAUUUUUGUUGCUGUGUGGUAUUUCUAUAUAUCUUGUAUCAGGGAUAUAACAAGAGUAAUGAUUGGUUUAUAUUCUUGUAAUUGUGAAAGUGGUCAUUACUGUAUGUUGCAACUACAUCUUUGUGUUGAAACCAUCCCUUUUUACAUUCUUUUCUGCAUCUGAAUCCAUGCAAGUCUUGUUGGUUCUGUGCUGACUAGAAACAGAUUUAGAAGUAAUUAACUAAGUUUGAGUAGCUUUUUUGCUCCUAUCGAAGUUUUCAUAAUUUGAUUGCUGUUGAUUCUCUUCUAUGUUGCUGCUGCUGUUUUUAGCCUGGCUUAUAAACUUCAGCUUACUUUUAUAUUUAUUGAUGAGGUUGACAGUUUUCUGGGCAGUGUCGUACUACAGAUCAUGAGGCAUUAACCAAUAUGAAAACUGAGUUCAUUGCAUUAUGGGAUGAGUUUACUACAGAUCGUGAGUUCUUACUCUUGAAACAAGUGUUGCAUUUGUGCAGUGACUUGCUAGAAUGUCUUUUCAGGUCGAUUUCAGUGCAUGAAUCAAAAGCUUUUCUUUUGCUUUAGAUAUAAACUUGCCAAUCACCAAUGUUGACUGAUUUUGUUGAUGAUUUUAGCUCUUUGUAAGAGUUGUGGAACAUUGUUUGUAAAUGUUGAGAUGGGUUUAUUACUCUUUUUAAUAGUCAUUUAUGACUUACAAGUUAUCAGAAUUACUUUAUUUUGCUUGCAAAUAUUGCUGCUGUUAUGAGAACUGAAUCUGUUAGUCUAGUGUUGUUCUUUUAAGUUUAUAAGAAUUGUUUUAAUUUGCUUGCACAUUCGUAGGUUUGUAGAGCAUUUUGUUCAUAACACUUUAAGUCUCAAAAUACUCCUGGAAAGGGAGAUUGAUUUAAGUGAAUCAAGAAUAAGGAAAUGAUCAAGAAUAAGGAAAUGUUCAUAACUCAAUAAAACAUACAUGAUUUUAUAGUUAACACAAACUAUUGCUUGCUUGACCUAUUACAUACAUGGAAUAUUUUUCGUAGAAGUAACACUCAAUUAACCUUGAAUAAAAAAAAAGUGAAGGGAAUCCAAUACCAUGAAUCUGCCACUCUAGUGUUGUUUCAUUGUCAAAUCCACUUGAUAUGUUGUUUGCACUGCAAAAUUAGAAAGGUAAGACUGGUCAAAUAAAUUGUAGAGAAAAGAUAGCCUACAUAAACUAUGAACAUAAAACUUGAAAACUUACUUGAAAAUAUCAAUUGAAUUAUUUAGUUUCUUCUAGCACCAUGUUUGCAACAUUCUUCUUUGUUUUUUUGCUCUUGAGAUUCCAUUUAUCUUCAACCAUCCUAAAAAACCAUGAAGGUUUUUUUGUUCUAAACACAACGUAUCCCGUUGCAACUCCAAACACAAACCCACAUCCAUACCCCAUUGUCACAACUUUCCAUCCAAAUCCUUCUCCAAACAAUGUUGAAUCAUCUCCUUCAUCAAAGCUUGAUGGUGGCAAUGACGGUGCCUCAUCACCGUAGCAUUCUUUUAGUACUUGAAAUCCACAUAAACCUAAGUUUCCUUCAAAUGAGCUUGCAUUAAAGGUGUUGAAUUGCUCUCCACUUGGUAUGGGCCCCUCGAGUUGGUUAUGUGAAAGGUUUAGGAUUGCAAGAAAUGUUAGACCCCUCAGUUGCAUUGGAAUCCUUCCGGUAAGCAAAUUUGAAGUUAGGUCUAAUGAUUCCAAAUUGGUCAAAUUUUCUAAUGAUGAUUGGAUAUGACCUGUAAGGGAAUUAUGAGAGAGGUUGAGUUGUUGGAGUGCUUUUAGCUUUCCAAUCACCUUUGAAAUCUCUCCGGUGAAAUUAUUUUUUGAAAAAUCAAGUACUCUGAUGGUACUUUGUAUCUUUGAAAACUCAAUUUCUACACUUUUCCAUGUCAUUUCUAUGGAAUACUCAUAACUGUAAUUUGUUGCCCUCAUGUAAAUCAUGUUUUGAUCCGAGACCAUCAUUGCUUCAAGCGUGAUGAAAUACCCAGCUGGCAAUGGCCCACUAAAAUUAUUGCCAGAAAUGUCAAAAAUUUGUAAUUUAGAGAAGGAAUUAUAUGCAGUCGGACCCUUCACAAAACCUUGGAGUUUAUUGGAUUUUAGGACAAGAAUUUGAAGCUUUGGAAGCGUUUGUAGAAAGGAGGGAAAUGUAUCCUCAAUCUUAUUGUUACCAAGAUCAAGAACUUUCAACAUUGUGCAAUUGAUGAUAGACGGUGGUAUUUUCCCUUCUAAUUCGUUUCCAUUGAGGUUGAGAUAUUCCAAGCUAUUAUCUUUUGAAAAUGUUGAAGGGAUAGUGCCUUGAAGAUUGUUCAUGCCUAGAUGCAAUACCGAGAGCAUGUCGGUGAAGUUCCCCAAACAUAAUGGUGUAGAACCACUCAAGCUAUUGUUGGACAAGUCUAGGACCACAAGGGAUCUCAGCUUGCAAAUAGAAGAAGAAAUCUCACCUGUCAAUUUACUAUUGGAUGCAAGAAUAAGGAGUUCCAAGCUCUCUAGUUUGAAAAUUGAACUUGGAAUUGUACCAUGCAAGUGGUUAUUGCUCAAAUCAAGGUAAUUUAAUGAAAAUUCAUUUUGGAAUUCACUUAUAUUGCCUAUGAGAUUAUUGCUAUGAAGGUCAAGUAAUGUUAAAGAAGGAAGAGCAAACAAAAAGGAUGGUAUUGUUCCAUUGAACAAGUUACCAUAUAAACUUAGACUCUCUAGAUUUGAAAGGGUAUUUAAUUGAGAAUGGAUAGGGCCUACUAGUUGAUUAUUUGAUAAAUCUAAAUCUAAAAGAUUAACUAGGCUACCUAAAGAAUCUGGAACUUGACCCAUAAAUUUAUUGGAAAAGAGAUACAAGUAACGGAGAUGUACAAGGUUUCCAAGUAAUGGGAUCUCACCACUAAAAUUGUUACUUGAGAGGUCUAAAGAGGUGAUCUGUGUGAGAUUACCAAGCAAGGAUAGAUCUGACCUUAUAAUAUUACUGUUACUAAGAGACAUAACUUCUAAUGACUUUAGAUUACUAAUUAAGUCGUUUUCUAAAUAAACAGAAAUUCUUGUAUUAGAAAGACCUAACCGAGAGAGGACAUUACUCAAAUUGGACGAAGGAAAAGAGCCAGUGAGGCCUUUGUUGGAUGACAGAUCCAGUGAUUCAAGGUGUGGGAGGAGAAAGAUGUAACCCGGGAAUUUCCCCUGAAAUCCACAGUUUUUGAGGGAGAGAGAUGAAAAAGAAGAGGACAGAUUCGUCAAGGAAUUGGGUGCAACGAAAGACAUAUUUACAGAACUCAAAUCGAGUUUUCUUAGCUUGGUUAGGUUUUGAACAAGCUUGUCAAAUGAAAUUGGUUCUAGAAUCAAAUGGUUGUUCCAAAAGAGAUCAAGUGAAACCAACUCAGUGAGUUGAUGAAAAUCAUAUGGAAUUGGACCAGUAAGAUUGUUCCCUCCAAGAUCCAAGUACUGCAGGUGCUUAAAUUUCCCCAUUGAGGAUGGGAGUUUUCCUUGCAAUCCACACCAAAAGAGUUUGAGCGAUGAUAGAGAAGAGGACAGAUUCAUCAAGGAACUGGGUGCAACCAGUGACAUGUCUACCGAACUCAGAUCGAGUUCUCUAAGCUUGGUUAGGUUUCGAACAAGCUUGUCAAAAGAAAGCUUGUCAAAAGAAAUUGGUUCUAGACUUGGGUAGUAGUUCCAAGAGAGAUCAAGUGAAACCAUUUUGGAGAGGUGAGAGAUUUCUGACGGAACUUGGCCUGCAAGAUCUAAACCACUUAGGUUAAGAUGUGUUAGAUUGGAGAACUGGCCAAAUCGAGAAGAAAUAUAAGAGGUGUUGAAAUCAUUGAAAGAGAGGUCGAGCUUUUGAAGAUGAUGGAGAGAGAAGAGAGAAUUAUUGGGAAGGAGGGUGCCGUAAAGCAUGCUGCAAGAGAGGUCCAGUGCAGUGACUUGCCCGGUUUUCAGGUCACAAGAGACCCCAACCCACAAGCAGCAGUCUGUACCCUCUUUCCAUGACUCUGUUUUUGGAAAGGGAUGUGGACAAUAGUACAAUAAAGCUGAACUAUUUUGAAUGGAGAAGGAUUGUUUGAAUUGAAGGAGAGAAAGAGAUUGGUGAUGAGCACACAAAAGAGAAGAAGAAGAAGAGUAAUUUGAGGAGAGUGGAGAUGAAAUUGUUGAGUGGAAAUGGAAGAGAAACAGAAUGAAGGAGAGAGAUUGAGAGAGGGACAGUGGUGAAAACCCCAUGGUGGCUGGCCUUACAGGAUUCAAAGUAUAAUUAACUGGGAAUUUAAGAUGAGAAGUAAAGAAAGGCAUUAUUAGUAGUAUUUAUAGACGAAAUCAAAGUCACUGGUUGAAGCAUUAAACAAGUUUCCUUAGCUGAAAGAGAAUCGGAGCAAAGAAAGACUAAUUUGUUCAUGAGCACAUAAUUGUUGGUAUUAAAAUACCUUUUUCAGGAUUUAAUAAUUAAAAAAAUAAAGUAAGAAUAAAAAUCGAUGGAAAUAUGCAAUAUGCAAGGUUCCUAUCAACUUGAUUCCCUGUUGACUUCAAACUGAAUUGUUGUUUCUUGGCACCAAUGACUUCGCACUAAUAUAAAAAAUAAUGUAAACUAUGGAAUUAAAAUGAUAAUCAAAGUCCCUUAAUUCACUAAUACAAGUGUUCAUAAAUUGAGGUGCUGGACAUUCAUGUUAAUUAAAAAAAAUAAAAUUGUUAAUUAUGAAAUAUUUAUAAAAUAAAAUAAAAAAAAGAUUUAUGCGAAGAUUGCUAUGCUCACUAAAAUAUAAUUUCCAAGAAAUUCAAGCCAAAAAAUCGGAAGAAAACUUAAUAAUUUACAAUUUAGUCUACAUUUCUAGUUGCACAUCAGCUUUAAAGGCUAUUAUAAGAAACUACGUAGGUUAGUCAAAUAAAUAAAUAAAAUAAAAAUGGCUAAAAUAUUGAUUUAUUAAUGAGAAUGCCAAACAGAUAUUUUAUUAAUGAGAAUAAGAAUAGGAACAUGACAAUAUUGAUUUUCUAAAGGGAUUAAAUAUCUUUUCAGGGGUUGUUAAUUUUAUUAAAAUUAAUUAAUCCUUUUACUAUUAAAAAUCUUGUGGGGGGAUAGAAAGUUGUUGGAAGAAAACGGAUAAUUAUUUUCAGCUGAAAUCAGUCCUCAUGCAUGUAUAUGGUGAAUUUUGCCUAGAAUUGUUUUGCAUGCGAUUGUUCAUUCUUAAAUGCAAAACUAAGAGUCUUUCGCUGAAGUUUCCUAAAUAUGCUUAUUUUACAAGUUUCCUACAUGUAUAUUGUGUAGAACCGCUCAAACUAUUAUUUUACAAGUUUCCUAAAUAUUUAGUGAACAGAGCAGCGGACAGGAAAACAGAGCACAAAAAUGUUAAUUUUGGAAAUUAAUUAAUAUUGCCGUGUUUCCAACACUCAGUGCUCCUGUUUAAUCACCAAUCCUUGCAAGGAAAUAUUCGCAAUUGAAUAAGACUUUUCUGGACCAUUACCUAUUGCUUUCUGACCUUGAUAUAAAAUUGAAUAAGACUUGAAGGAAAACAGAGCACAACGAUGAACCAAGGAAUGGAGUUUGAAGGUUCUUGCCCUCAAGAUGCUGUGGGAUUGGUCGUCCUCAAAGGUCUUUCUCUUUCAGCAUCAACAAGGGAGAACCGAUCUUCAUUUGUUCUGUCCUUAACCCCCAAGUCUUCGGAACUUGGAUGCAUAGAUAUUGUCCACUCAUUCUUAAAUGCAAUACUAAGAGUCUUUCGCUGAAGUUUCCUAAAUAUGCAAUAUUUAGUGAAUGUUUAUGAAUAACAUUAUACUGAACCAGUACAGGAAAACAGAGCACAACGAUGAACCAAGGAAUGUUUAUGAAUAAUAUUUAGUCGUCCUCAAAGGUUGCUAUGCUCACUAAAAUAUAAUUUCCAAGAAAUUCAAGCCACAAAAUCGGAAGAAAACUUGUUAAUAAUUUACGAUCGUAGUUUACUCACAGCUUAAGCAAGUGGGCAUGCAGAGUUAAAGAGUCAUCCUCACCUUCUUAUGUCCGCUUCAAUCCAAUCUCCAGUCUCCAGUCUACACGUUCUGGCAAUAGCUUUAUUGAACAGAAUCUAGAAAACUGACAAACAAUGGAAAAUUAAUGGAGUUUGAAGGGAGAACCAAUCUUCAUUUGGUCUGUCCUUGAUCUCCAAGUCUUCGGAACUUGGAUGUAUAGAUAUUGUUCACUCUUCAUGUGGUGCUGAAUAUAUAUGGAAUUGAAGGUUCCCUUGCAAAUAUUUCCAUACAAGAGUGAGCGUUGGAUACACGGCAGUACUAAUUUCCAAAAUUGACAUUUUGGCAGCAAGUCCUUUUAGAACUUUCUUUGCAGCUCGUCUGAUGGCAGCUGUUCUUGGGGACAUCGAUCUACCCCUUCGCAUGCACUGAUAGAUUAUUAUUGCUAUUAUUAACAAGAACAGGUGACUGUGUACUUGAAGGGUUAAGCAAUUUAUGUGUUUCCCAGAAGAAGAAGAAGCAUUCAUAGCUUAGAAAAUAGCAAUGAAUAUAUAUGUGCUAAUAGAUACAGUUUGUGCUCUUCCUUUGCAGCUCGUCAUAUGGAUCAUACUUUUUGUGUGCCAACAAAAGACAACAAAGCAACCCUUGGUACAGAUUUUUGCUGGAUAAAUCCACCUUCGUUUUGUUUUUUGUGUUAAUACGAAGAAAAAUCUGAAGGAGUGCAGUGCAUAGCUGUUGUAGUGUACUAACCGAUCUUGCAGUAAAAUUGGGACUCUCGUGAAGUGUCAAUUUUAUAUUAAGGUCAGAAAGCAAUAGGUAAUGGUCCAGAAAAGUCUUCGGACCUUAGAUAUAUAGAUUGAAUUAUUCAAUUGCGAAUAUUUCCUCGCAAGGAUUGGUGACUAAACAGGAGCACUGAGUGUUGGAAACACGGCAAUAUUAAUUAAUUUCCAAAAUUAAUAUUUUUGUUGAGAUCAAGUUUAUAUGAGCAGCAAGUUUAUGUGCUAAUUAGAACUUUCUUUGUACUUAGACUAGCGAUAACUGUGUUCUUGACAUCAAUGUAUUAAAACAAUGUAAAAAUAUGUUAGCAAUACAAGAAUGUUGAUUUUUUUGUAAAAAAUAAAUCUUAAAAAAUAAAUAAAUAACAUAAAAAUAUUAUUUUAAUAUAUUUUCAAAUAAAAAAACACUUUAAAAAGUAAUUUCCACCGUACUAACAUACUUUAAGAAUAAAAACACAACAAUAUUGAUUUUCUAAAAGGAUUAAAUAGUGUUUUAGGGGUUGCUAUUUUUUCUUUAAUUAACUACUACUUUUAGUAUUAAAAGUAAUUAAAUAGUUAUUUGACCAAUUUUAAUCAUGCUUAUUUCAGUAAUAUUUUUUUAAAAUACUUUUCUUUCUUAUCAAUCUUUCAAUUUAUAUGCUUUGAUUUUUUUCUUUUUUCUUUUUCCUUUUUCUAUUUUAAAUAAAAAAAAUAAUUUAACUAUUAGAUUAUGUAAACAAAUAAUUUAAAAAUAUAUAUGCAAUAAAUGAUGAAAAUUAUAAACCCUUUACUUUGAUAGUUCAAGGAAUAUUUAUAACCUUUGAACUUUGUUAUUUUGUUGAAGUGGAGAGCCUGAAAAGUUAUUUCUUUUUUAUAGUAAUAAUAAAAAAUAAAUAUUUCUUACACAAUAUUAAACGAGAAAUAAAUAUUUAUUGCAUAAUAUUAAUAAAAAAUAAAUAUCCAUUAUAAAAUAUUAAUGGUGACACUUAUCUAUUAUUUUACAAGUUAGACUUGAAGGAAUUUCAGAGCAGCGUACCGGAAAUUAAAGAAAAUAUUUAGUGAAAGUUUAGGAAUAACAUUACUGAACCAUUACCGGAAAACAGAGCCCUCAAGAUUGGAGUUUCAAGGUUCUUGCGUACUAAAAGAUUUUUGUUUUCCACCAUCAACAAGGGAAAACCAAUCUUCAUCUGCUCUGUCCUUUUCCUCCUUGACGUCCAAGUCUUCGCAACCAUACAAUUAUUCAAUAUGGAACUGCAGGUUGAAUUAUUCAAUUGCAAAUAUUUCCAUACAAUUAGGUCCCUUUGUUGACUAUGCAAGAAUGUUGGAAACACGGCAAUUUUAAUUUCCAAAAUUGACAUCUUUCCAGCAAGUCUACGUGCGUGCACUUUGUGCUCUAAUUAUAACUCCCUUUUGUGUCUCGUCUGAUGACAACUGUUCUUGGAGACUUCUACCCCUCUAUGCCUGGUUUUUCUUGGUAUCAUUGCAUCUUUGAAGUUUGGUUUUCCUUACAAUUUACUUUAUCUUUCAUUAGAUUUCUCUACAUUGUAAGAAAUAUUUUUUAAGUGGAUCAUAUGCCAUGUCAUGUUUUCAAAAUAAUAUUAAUUGUGUAUAUAUUAUAAAAUUUAUAAAUGAUAAUUAAAUGCUUGGAGUCCAUUGCUCUCUAAUGAUGAACCAAUUAAGUACAAUACAUAAUGGAUGAAAGUGAAAAAAAUCAGAUUAAUGAAAGGAUCCCUAUGCAAGCCAUAUUAAAUAUUACGUAAUGUCAUGUAACCUCCAUCAAAAUAUAGAAAAUUUAAAGUUUGGUAUUGACGGUUCAAUCAUAGUAUGGGCUAAAUCCACUCAUUUGACAUGUGUUGAGCAUAAUACAAAUAAUAAAAAAUAAUUAAGUCAUAAAUACAAUUAAAAUUAUAGAGAUUAAAUGUAUGGUUUGCAAAACUACGUACUAGGAUUAAGUUAUAAUUAACUCAAAUAAAAAAGAAAUUUAUGCAAAGGCUCGGGUUCCCUAGGUUUCAAGGACGAAGAAGUGCUUUUUAGGACCCGUUGAUAGAAAACUGUAUAAAAGUGAUUACAAUUACAGAGAGAAAAAAAAGAGUAAGAUUUUAGAAGAAUUAGUGAAUUAAAAGAGAAGGAGGAGGAGUGAGAAAUGGUGGAUUGGUAAUUUAGAAGAAUUAAAUGCCAAUAACAGUUUAAUCCUCGGAACUAGGAGACGAUAAUGCAUUAAUCGAGAUUAAGUUGUCUUUUUCCAUCAAAUAGCUAGUCCGCUUGGCAAGAACACAAGUAUUAAAAAGAUUAGCAAAACUUGUUCAAAAUAUAAACAACACACGAGCACAAGUUUGAACUAUGGUAUUCUCUUGUCGGGUAAAGGGAGUGGUUACAAUUCCAGCCUUUGAGAGGAGCUUAGUCCAUGUUCUGAGGAACAUAAAUGCAAGAAGACCAGUGGUGAGAUUCAGCUUCAUGACUAUAACACUGUAUAUGAUCCCAAUUGCUAUGCUAGCAACAAUUCCCCUAACUGUAAUCUGUUUAGUCCAUGGAGCAAUCCUCUUGAUAUCCAUGUUCAUAUUCAUCACAAUCUUCUCACCAAUACAAUCAACAAACCAAACUCAUCAUCUUGAAUCCAAUAGAAUGAUUUAUAGAAGCUAAACCACACAUCAAGAAAAUCUGAUAAAACUACAAAAAAUAAAAGAUUGAAUAAAAACAAAACGUCAUGAAUUAUAUUACCUUAUAAGCCUCCUCCUUUUUCUUGCUCCUCUUCUUCUUUCGACCACAGCUUCAAAAAGCACCCGAAGAAUCCAACUUCCUCAGUCAACUACUAACAAGUCUCCAUCAAUCAAUACAAGUAGAUGCAAGAGCAUAUAGCUUCCUUCAGAAAGACAACAAAACAUUCAAAUCAACACAUGGGCAAGGGCCAGCCUCUAAGUUGACUUAAGGAAACUCUCCAAGAAAAACAGACGACAGCAGACGAACUUGAUUCGAGGCCUUCAAGAAAAGCCCAAAAACCAUAAAUAUUGCUUCUUCCAAAGCAAUAAUCAAGAGCAUUAAAUGUCAGGCCAAGAGAACAAAAACCCAAGCUUCUUAUAUGGCAAAAAAACACAGCAAUUGUUUUUCUUAUUUAUACUAAAUUCAAGCACCACCAGCCCACCCACCAGCAUUUUCUAUGUACUGCAAAGCAGUACAAGGCAAGGCUGCGUUGUAGUACAACACUCAUCAGAACUCCAACGAUGGCUGCUAUCAAGGACGGAACCAGGAAUUUUUCAUAUCCUGGGCUAUUAAAUAAAUAUAUAAUUUUUUAAAAAAUAAUUAUUAAUUCAUGUAUAUAAAUUUUUGAAGUUAACAUUACAGUUUUAAUUCAAAUACAUUACAUAAAAUAUUAAAAAAAAAUACAUAAAAUUAAAGUAAAAAGUAAAAAGAAACUCAUUAUUGAAGUUACAUCAUUCGAUGUUUUAUGAAAUAUAAUUAAUUUAUAAUCAAAUCUGAAUCGAUAUUAUAACAACCCUUCAACCAAGAUAAAAUAAUAAUCUCAUGUCAAUUGGAAAAUAAAAUAAUUAAUUUUUUUCCCUCUCUCAAUUCAUCCUUCCUUCACUUGAUUCUUCUUUAGAUUAGAGUUUUAUAAGUUAUAAUGUGUAAAUUUAUAAGGUUAUUCUCUUACUUUUUCUAUUUUUUUUCCUUGGAUUUUUUUUUAUGUUUUCCCUUUCUUCUCUCUCUUUCUCUCUUGCCUUUUCUUUUCUUUUCUUUUCUGCUUCUUUUCAGUCAGCAACAUAUAUAAAAAAGGAAGAGCUUAUUUGUUUUAUUUUUUAAUGGAAAAUAAUUAUUUUACCCUUAAUGAGUUGUUUUGCUUUUAUUUAACAGUUUUUUUUUGUUAGCAUUACCAAGCUCCGUUCAUUCUAAAAUUUUAACAAGAUUUUAUUCAAUAUAUUUUAAGAUCCCUUGUAAAAUUUCAGCUCAAUUUACUAGUCGGAUUGAAAAUUACGUUCAAUAACGUAAAACUAGUCAAAUUGUGAUUUUUCAUUAAAUUUCUAAAUUUCUUCAAAAAUUCUGAAAUUUUAAUCCAAGUUAAAGUAUUAUAUUACAAGGCUCUACGCAAAUUUGUAAAAAAAUUUAAUAACUUAAUUAAAAAUUAAAAAUUUAUUUUAUAUAAAACUAGUCAAAAAAAUAGUGAUAAAAUUUUACCCUGGGCUAGAGCCCACCCUAGCCCUCAGCACAGCUCCGCCCCUGGCUGCUAUACAUUUGAACAGAUGUCAGGUUCUUAAUUUUGAUCCUCGUCUCGUUGACUUAUCACCACCACUUUUCACCCUCUCUUCAUCCUUGUAGUACAGAUAUAGAGAGAAGAAAAGUGGGCAGUCGUAAGCAUAAAAUUGCUUAAAGUGAAAAGCAAGAAAUGGAACUGCUAACUGGAUUGAACUGGCUGCUUCACUUGAAAGUGCCUUCCCUUUACGGUCAUAACAUGUGUAUGGCAAGUUAAGAGUGCAUUUUGGUCCCUCUACUCUUAUUUCCCUUAAUUUAUCACCUUCUGUCUUGAUAUCACUCUCUUUAUUAUAUUCUUUAUUUUAGUCAACUGUAGCCUAGUAGUUAGACACCUCAAUCCCAACCUAACUUGUUUGGAUUAGAACCCAAAGACUGCUUCGUUAAAGAUUGAUAUUUAUUUAAUCAACUAUUGUACUAUACUAGGCAAUGACGUCGUUUAAUACUAAACAUUUUCAAUAGGAUGUUCUCUUAUCCCACGCAUAAGAACAAAAAAAAUGUUACGAGGGAUGAAUUGUUAAGGGGUUAUAUUGAAGCAUAAAAUAGUAUAAGGAUCGAAUUAAGAUAGAAUGUAUAGUGGAAGGAUAAAAAAGACAACACUAGCAAGGCGUGUGACCAAAACAUGUCAAAGUCAGUCAAGAAGAGGAGAAAGGCCAGUUUUGAGGCCAAUAAUAUAGAAAUCUUAAAAAAACGAUUGAUGUAAGAGAGAGAUAUCAUAGGGAUGGUGGGGUGGGCCCCAGAAAUGGUGGGAAUGGUAUUCAUCGAAUGCUGAUUCUAUCAACCUUUAGAUGCGAUCACUAUUUCUGACCAUUAAUUUCUGGUUUAUAAAAUGAUGUGAUAAGAAUAGUCAUUUAAAAAAAAAAUUGUGUUUUGAAUUUGAAAAAAAUUAAGUUUUUUAUGUUUUAAUAUAAAAAUAAAUUUUAAAAAAUAAAAAAUAUAUUAUUUUAAUAUAUUUUUAAAUAAAAAAUAUUUUUAAAAUAACUCUUAAAAUAAUAAUAGACUUAGGUUGUUAAAUAUGAUUCUUUUCAUGCUACUUGAAAUUUAUACAGGUUUAUUAUUAUAAAAUAUAAAAAAAUAUUAUUGUUAUAUAUUUUUUAAAAUAAUUAUUAUUACAAUAUCAAAUAUCAAACAUGUAUUGAUAUUAAUCUUGCUAAAUUUAAAAUAAUAUUGAUUCAAGAUUGUUUUUAUAGAUAAAAGUUAAAAGGUUAUCAACUUAACCGGACUGAGUUUAAUAUCUAUAAGAAAUUAUUUUUAGUAAAUUAGAGUAGGUCAUAAAAAUUUAGUCUAUUGGUAGAAACUACACAAGAAUUUAUAAUAUGAUUGAUUUACUUCAUGUAAUUUAAAUUAAAGAAAAAAAAGCACACAUUUCCUCUGCCUCAAAAUAAAUGAAAAUAAAAUAAAAAAGAAUUAUUGAAUUUUCAAGUGAUUUUAUUGUUCCUUUUUUCAAACUUGGAAUGUAAUAAUUCCUCAUCUAAUUUUUUAAUCGGGUGCAAUAAUUUAUUAUUUAUCUCUUAGUUUACAAAAUAAAAUAAAACAUUUAUUUUAAAGCGUAGAUUUACUAAUUAAUUCAAUUGUUUUCUACUGUGAUCACUUUGAUUCUGGGAUUGAGAGUGAUAAAAUUAUCAUCGAAUUAAUUUUGAAAAUUAUCAUCGAAUUAAUCUAAAAAGGGAAUUACUUAGCGUGAGUAUAUUUUCUUAUCAAGAUUGAUAGUUACGUGCAUAAGGGGAACCCUCCCUUUCGUCGUAGCACAAUCGUCCUUUCGCACCAAAAAGUCAUCAAAAAAUUAUUCCAAAACAAACACCACAGACACCCACCCUCCCACCCUCCAAGAAGCAAACAAUUUUGCUGAGAGGAAUAGGCAAUAAAUAUCUCCGUUUAAAUCACCUUAAUUCAGUGGAAAAUUAUGUGCACAUUAUUUGUACAUUAUGCUAUGUGCAUGCAUCAGAGUGUGGUUUAAUUUGAUUGACUACUUGACAUAAAUAAAAUGAAAGGAGUUCUUUGGCAUUUUUUAGAGAAAAAAAAAUUACCUUGUUAUGGGCUAGAAAUGUUUAUGAUAUUUAUUUUUCUCUAACAUAAGUUUUGUGGAUACGAAGUAGAGAACAUGUUGAAGUUACAUCUAGUUAGCAAAAUCCAACUCCUGGUUGUUAAAACUCGGUAAAAAAUUUAGAUCAUGGGUUAAGUUUUAUUAAUUAAAAUAAUGUUAUUUUAAUUUUUUAAAAAUUAACUUAAUUUUUGACUAAAUCAACUAAAUCAUGAAUUAAUUCAUAAAAUCAUUUAAAUUAAAUUGGUUCAAUUUUCACUUGAUUUUUUUAAAAAACCAACAUGAACUAAUCGAGUCUAAUAACUUGUUACUAAUAAAUUAUGCCAUUUUACAUUUACUUAAUUUUUGGGAGUAGGAACUCAAUUUUGAAAGGGACGGUGAGUUUCAAUUUUGCACUUUACGAAUAGAUAUCUAUGUUGACAAAUCAUUUGCCACUUGAGGUUGAAGAUCAUGUCGUUUAAAAUGAAAUUAACGCAUUAUAAGCUAAUUAUGUGGAUUCGAACUCAUAAUAAUUAGUUUCAUGUUAAGAGUAUGAUUUCAUGUUUUACUUAAGAAACAUUGAUUAGCACUUAGCAGCUUAUUUAAAAAAAAAAAUAUUAUAAGCUUUUUUAAAAAACAAAGAAUGGUUGAAUGGAGUUGGAGUUGUGGAGGUAAUGGAGAACCCUAAUUCUUCAAUUACAUGUAAGAAGUUUAACUUGAUAUGAAUUGAUAUAUAUGCCACUUGAAGCUGUAGGCCUUUGCAUUUAAAAUUAGGUUAAUGCAUAUGGUGAGUAAGCUAUAUAUUAAUUUAUUGUGGUUUCCAACUUCAAAAUUCGAGAAUCAAUUAUGUUGUGGAUUAGUGAUAAAAUUUAAAAGAAGGAGCAUUCUUGUUUUAAUUUCUUUCAUGUUAAAAGUAUUAAUUACAUGUCCUGGUCUAAAAAACAAAUCAUGAUUAAUUUGCUAUAGCAUACUUGUUUUAACAAACAAAAAAAUAGAGUUAACCAUGCAUUGCAUGCGUGAAAAAAAAUAUAACUAUAGGUUCAAACCUAUGUAUCUCGUAUCAAUAUGUUAAAAUCAAAGAGGAUGGAAACUAAAAAGACAUUAUCGCAAACAAAAAAAUUUCCAUUAAAAUAAUUAUGAUUAAAAUUGAAAGAUUAAAAUAAUUAAAGGGGUGAAAUUAAAAAUCAUUUAUAGAUUUAAAAAUGAUAUGGGUAAAAUAUAAAAAAUAUUAUUGACAGCUAACUAAAUAGAAUCAAAUUGAAAAAAAAAGAAGUUAAAAAUAGAGAAUUAAACCAAAAAAUAUUUAAAAAAGGUUAAAAAAUGAUAAAAAAAAAUAAGACAACAUCAAUUUAGAAAAAAAAAACAAGGCGAUUCUCUUAAAUCUAAUCUAAUAUCUAAAAGUCGCAUCGCAUUACAUUUUUUUAUCUCUAUUCAAUUAAGAAUCAUAAUUUUUAACUAAUUUAAUUACAAAGAAUGAGAUCAGUAGAAAAGUAUUAAUAAAAAACUUGCAAAUAAACUUGCUAUUAAACUUGCAAAUAAGCUUGCAAUUAAACGUUGAAUCAGGGUCCUAUAAAAAGAUUUAUUAUAAGUCAAUUUAAAAAACUUGUCAAAGCAAUAUAUAUAUAUAUAUAUAUAAAUAUAUAAACCCAGUUGACAGCCAGCUCGAGUCAAUAAAUCAAACACAUGGUUUAGGACAUGAAAUUAGGAUGACCAUAUAAAUAGGAAAGCUUAAAAAACACUUUCAAAAAUAUAUAUUAAAAAAACACUUUAAAAAAAAUAAAAUUCGAAUCAAGCUAAUCUUUCAGAUCUAUUACUUGGGUCAUAAGACUAAGGUGACCCCAUCAAAGAUAAAUUUUUUUAAAAAAAACAAAGAAGCAAGAUUCUUAGUUAAACAAACUUUGAAGGAUAAAAAAAAAAUCAAUCAAAAAAACAUUGCAGAAAAAAAAAGCAAUUAAAAGAAUUAUGACUAAAUUUGACAUAAAAAUGAAAUGAAAUAAAAUGUUUUGGUAAAAAUCAAAUCAAAUCAAAUGUUUUGGGAUGCAAUUGUAAAAAACAAAUCCAUUAAGAAAAUAAUUUUAAAAAUAGCAACAAAAAUAAUUAAACCAAAUUUAACAUAAAAAUAAAAUGAAAAUAAAUGUAUAGGGGUGAAAUUGUAAAAAAGUUGUCGCACCCGACAUCGCGGUGGCCUUAAAAAUUAAUUUUAUAUCUUUGAAAAGAACGGAUUUCUAGCAUCAUGUUCUUUAAUGUGGAUAUUCUUGUUUAAGGAGUCGCCACCUAGUAUUAUGGUCAAUAGGAACCCUAACUGGUCAACAGAGAUUCUAUAGUUCGGGACUGGCUUGGGCCAGUGACCCGGCUGGGCCACAGCACGCGUGAACUUGUUCACGCGUGCGUAGCGCUGUGCGAAGGCAAUUAAAUUGCCUUCGCGCAGUGUUAUUGAAGAUUAAACGAAGGCAAAAAAUGAAGAAACGAGCGUACCUGCUUCUGGAGAUCGAAGAUGCUUGCAGCGCUGAUGGAUUCUCGCCCGCUGGUUCCCUUUAUCUUCCUUCUGCGCUCACCUGCCUGCUUGUUCCUUUUGUUUGUUCAGCGGCUUUUGAAACCGAGAAGAUGAUGAAGAGGCCGGCCUGCUGGGAAUUUGCUUUGAUUCUGGGUUUUCGUUGUUUGCAGGGACGAAGGCAGUGACAGAGCCAAUACUCGUCUCUUUGUAUUGCUUCUCUCUUGUUCUCCCCUUCUGCUAACCUCUUUGUUUCUUGGAAUUUCCUCUGUUUUCGUUCUUUUCUCUGUCCCCUGCGUUCGAGAAGAUGGAGAUCAACGUUGGCCCUCUGGUUUUUUUAUGGCGUUUGUCUCUGUUUUUUGCUCUGUUUCUGGGUUCUGUUUUUGGCUUGAUUCUUCUUGCUCUCGUCUGGGUUUUUGUAUCAGUUUUUGUGCUGUGUAUUUUCUUUCUCUCGGUUUUGCUGGGUUUCUCCUCCUGGGUAUUUUUUUUGCUCUGCCUUUUAUAAGGCCAGAGACCUUCAAAAAACCAUCACCUCUACCUACGGGAUUGUGGCAAUCGUGGCAGGAGACAUGGUCACGAUUUGGAUCGGAUGCACUGGGAUUUUCCUGUUGAAUCGGCUGCCUUGGCGAAAUGGAAGGGAUGACGAACAGUAUUAUUGCAAACGGCACCGUUUAACAAUUUUCAAUUUGACCCCUGAACUUUGGAAAUUUCGCAAUUGGACCCCUGAAUAAAAAUUUCUUUUAAUUUUGCCCUUUUUGGAUAAAUUUCAAUUAAAUCCCUAAAUUGGUGCAUUAUUACAAAACAGUCCUUAAUUCCUGGAUUAUUCAAUUUGGUCCUUAAUUAAUUCUUUCAAUUUUGCCUUUUUUGGAUAUAUUUCAAUUAAGUCCUUGAAUUUAUUUAAUUAAUUAAAUCAAAGUUUAAUUAUGUAACGCCCGGCGAUUUUUGUAAGCAUUUAAAAUUAAUUUCCUACAAUUUGGUAUGUAAAAAUAAGUUUUUUUUUUUUUUUUUUUUUUUUAUUUUACACUGUAACGGAAUUUCUACCGAAAUUUUGGCAGAGCCUCCCCUAUACCGGGAGGUCCCAAGUUAUCAACAACUCAUCCUAUACAUAUCUCAUGUUCAUUCCAUCAUCAACGCAUAUCCAUAUCGCAUUGCGACCACAAUUAUUAUUAAUCAUAAUAUUUUGCAAAUCUAGGGAUUCAUUUCGAACAUAUAAUUUACAACACAAAAUAAUAGUAAUUAACUUGAUUAAAAACAUUAAUAUUACAAGAACAUCCACACUUUUAACCUCUGUUCCAGCCCUGUUUUCCUUAAAUAUUUGUUCAAGAUCAUGAAUCAUUGAUAUAUAUCUUCAAUUUUCUCCUCCCCCCUUCAAGUCCCCUUAUGGCCGGCCCUAAUCUAGGGUUUUCUCCUUAGUUUACAUGAAGUUUUUCUUACUAUACAUUCUUUGAAAUUUGUUCUUUCCUUUAUAAAAUUUAUUGUUCACAAUAUUAGUUUUCAAAACAUUAAUAUGCACAAAAAUCCUAAGUUUUCAUUUGGGUUGUUCACCCUUUUCAACAAAGCUCACUCAAGACAACAAUGGAGAUUGAAGGGUUUUUCUUACCAUAUGAAUUAAGCAAGGAUUAAGGAUGAUUUUUUUUUUGACAACUCUAUACGUGUUCUUCUUGUUCUCUUCCUUGGUUGAUUCUUCUCCCCCUCUUUCUGCCUUUAGCCGUGAAUCUCUCUCUCUCUCUUUCUACAUCUCUAUUUUGUGGUCUUUCUCCUCACUUUCACUCUUCAUUCACUCUAGCACCGUAUGGAUGAAAUGCAAGAGAACACUUUGCUGGAUAUUUUGUAAGAGAGGGGGCUGCUAGGGGCUGUCUUGGCCGGCAAUAAUGGGAGAGGUAAAGUGACAAUCUUUUCUCCCAACUACUUGUACUCCCUCAUAAAUGAAAUUAGACCUUGUUUGGUUUGGUUGUUUUUUUUUUUCCAAGGCCGGUUAUUACAUUUAUUUUAGGUUGAUAACCGGGUCAAAUCUUCCCUUACAUGCUCUUCUCCAAAACUCACUCAUUUCACUUUUAUUAUUAUUUUACUCUUUCUUAUAUAUAUUAUUCACACUUAUUGACUGUUACAAAGUUGUUGUUGGGUGAAACUUUUAAAUGGGUUUCAUGUCAGGUUUUAUAAAAGAAAACUUCAUCUCUUAAAACUCGUCUUUAUUUUUGCUAAUAUUAUAAAUUUUAAUCCAAAAUUUAUAACGUUCAUUAUGACUUCCACCAUACUUUUAAAUUUAUCUAUAGAGCUUAUUCUCUCUCUUACCCGUUGUAUUUAUUAUUAUUUCUAUUAUUUAUUCAUUUCUUUUAAUAUUAAGUCUUCAUUACUCAUUGGGGUCAUUCUUUUUUUUUUUUUUUUUUCUUUUUUUUUUCUGCGAUCCUAUGUUCAUGCGAGGGUUUACAAAUUAAGUCCUCAAACUUAUUAAUUCUUCUAAUUUCAUUAAUUAAACUAAUCCAAAAUUUAAAUAAAUUUCCCAACUUAUUAAUUCUUCAAUUUCUAACCAAAUUAUUCUCAAAUUUGAUAAUUCCAUCGAUGAACUUUGAAUUUGUGUUGUUUUAACCCCAUUCUCAAAUAUAUUUUUAUUUUUAUUAUUUGUUCAAAAAAUUGGGUUAUAACAAAAGUAAAUCAAUCAAGAAAAUGAUUAAAAAAACAAAUAGAAAUUAAAAUAAUAAGGACCGACUUUGACAACAAAAUUAAAAAAAAUCAAAUGACCAGAGAUAAAAUAAAAAAUAAAACCUAAUUAGAAAUAAUCAAUGUAAAUAAAACAAUUACAAAUAAAAGAAGAGGGGCUGAAUCAAAAGAAGGAAUAAAAUGAAGGACUGGAAUGAAUUUUUUUCAUUGCCAUCACGCAAUCCGAGAAAGAAGAAAAGGAAAAGAAAAGAAAAGAAAAGUAAUUUCAAGUCACAUCACGCCGAACCACGAUACACACACCAUCCAAAGAGAAAGAGGAUGUCAAGAUGAAUCAAAUGAUGCUGUAGAAUCACGGUUACAUCCACUCGAGUCAACCACACGCACAACUAGAAGUUGAAAAUAUUGAAAAUGUCCUUUGGACUAAACAAUAUUAACAAAUAAACCAUGAUGAAAUUACAACUAAGCCCUUGAAGCCAAGGUUAAAAAAUAAAAAUUGUAUGGACAAUGUAGUAAUUCAAUUGCUCUAUAAAAAAUAAAAAUACAAAAACACACAUGUGCAGAAAGCAUUGAAUUAUUUUAUUCAAGGGUUAAAUUAGUAAUUUUUAUGUGCAUUAAAAAACACAAUUAUCAAAAUAACCCCGUAUAAUUCUCAAAUAACAUUUAUGUCAUGGUGAAAAUAUUACCUUACCCUCAAAGCAAAGACAAAGGAUAAAAUAACUAAGGGACAAUAUAAUAAUUAUAUUAUUAUAAUGAAUAAUAAUUUAUGUCUCCGGAGUGUUUUGGAUAAUUAUAUACAUAUUAAAGUAUGUAUAUUAUAUCUAUAUAUAAAAAAAUAGAGAUAGUGGGGCCAAAUGAAAUAUGUUUCCAUAUACCUUUUUAUUUUAAAACUACAUAAAUUCAUUAUCAAAUUAGUCUAGAGAUUAAUUUCUUUUUCUCCUGUUUAAUCCCUAUUGAAAGACUAUAAAAAAAUAGUAACCAAAAUUAUAAUUUUUUUUAAAUAAAUGAUAAAUGGGUACAUAUUUGUUUUUUUUCUCUUGAGAUCAAGUUGUUCAAAGAAAAUUGAUUACCAAAACCUCUUGAAAAGUUAAUUGUAAUUUUUAUUAAUUAUAAUAUGAUUUCUAUGGAAUUCUAGAAAAUUUCCAUACCAUAAAUGAUAUACAUUUAAUUGGGUUUGGAAAAUAUAGCCUCGUUGAUUAAAAUUAAAUUUGGCCUUAUAUUAUUUCUUUUUAUAAAAGUAGUAUUAUUAUUAUUGAUAUUACUAUUUCAUCACAGGGCUUUUAAGGAAACUUCAUUAAGCCUAGAAGUAGAAAGAGAGCUCGGCUUUAAUGAGGCUUCUCCCCAAAAAUUCAGCUUGUCCUUUCCCAGCCCAACCCUAACCACCCAACAUAGCUCAAACCCUAAACGCCACCACCAGGUCUACUAGCACAUUAAUUUACAACACAACCUCAACAAACCACCCAAAAAGAACUCCAACCCAAGGAGAUUACUGUACUUUAAAUUCAAAUACAAAAUCAGAGGGGGUUUCGUCAGAGACCAUGUUUUUGCAAGAACCAGUGUUAUAUGUAGCAAGUGCAGCUUUAAGGUGUUUGGUAUUGUUUGCUGAGCUCCGGAAACCUGAUCCGAAUCGUGAAGCAUCAAAGAAAGCCCUUGAACAUAAGAAAGAAAUCACUAAGCAUUUGGGUCGUUCCUUUAUCCAAACAAACCCUUAUGAGGUGCGCGCGCGCGCGCGCAAAGUUUAUAUUUUUGCUGAAAAGAUUGGAUUUUUUGUUUUGCAUAUUUUGUUUUGGGCUUUUUUUUUGGGUUUUAGAGGAUUAUGUGAAUCUUGGUUCUAGGGGUAAUUAAUGGAAUUUAGGUUUGUUUUGGUUUAUUGUUUUCUGGAGGAUUCUGUGAAUUUUGGUUAUAUGGUCAGAUAAUGAAACAAAUAAUUUUGUGAAUUUGGAUUAUAGGGUUAGUUAAUGGCAUAUAGGCUUUGUUUUUAUUAUGUGCUAUAGGUUUUAUUAUACGCUUGAAUUGUCAUUUAUCUGCAAAAGUUUGAGUUUUGUUUGUGAUAGUGGGGUUGAGGUUGAUAUUGCAAUAAGGGAUGUGGGUGGUUUAUUGUAGGGAAUAUGGAUUUUUUUGGGGGGGGGGGGUCUGGGUGUUUUGAUGUAGAUAGGUGCUUUAAUCGUUGUUUUGGAUAUGAGUGAGUGAAUGCUUGUGCCAAAUGGGAUGGGAUUAAGUUUCCAGUUUUGCUGUGAUGAAUGAAGUUGCUUUUUGGUAGUUGAAACUAAGUUCAUUUCAGAUUGAGUUAUUUGUUGAACUUUUGAACUGAUGGGUUGGAGCUUAGGCCUCUAGGUUGAUGAAAAGUUCAAAUUCUUGUGUGACAAUGGAGAUGGGGGCCAUGAGAUUAAGAUUGCGAUGAGGUAUCUUGGUGGUUUAGUGGGUUAUUGUAUGGAUUAGGGGAUUUGGGUGUUUUAGUGAAGAUAGGUAAUUUAAUCAAUUUUUGGGACGGGGAGUGACUCCUUGUGCUGAAUAGGGUGUGUUUAAGUUUCCAGUUCUGCUGGGAUGCAUGAAGUUGUCCUUGUGUUGGUAGAAACUAAGUUCAAUUCUGAUUGAGUUGUAUAUUGAGCUUUUGUACUGGAGCGCUGGAGUUUAGGCCUCUGGGUCGAUGUUAUAGCAUGCUUGAAUUGCCAUUUAUUUGCUAGAAUUUUGAAUUUUAUGUGAUAAUAGGAUGAGGACCAUAAGGGUAAGACUUCAAUAAGGGAUGUGUGUGGUUUGGUGGGUUAUUGUAGGGAACAUUGAUUGGAGAAUUAGGGUGUUUUGGUGAAGAUAGGUGCUUCCAACAGUUUUGGGGAUGUUGGGGAGUGAUUGCUCAUGCUGAAUGGGAUAUGAUUAAAUUUCAAGUUUUGUUGGAUGGAUGGAGUUAUUUUUGGUUGGUGGAAACUGGAGACCAAGUUCGUUUCUGAUACAUUGGAACUUUUGUACUAUUGUGUUGACCUUGGGUUGGUGCUAUAGUACUGUUGUCAUUGUUUAUACAACCAUAAACCGUUAUAAUAUUUCCUGGUGUCUUCAAACGUGCCAUUUGUUUUCUAGGCUGUCUAUACUUUGUUGGCUGCUACCAUGCAACAAACAAAGUUUCUAAAGUCAACUGAAUACAUGAAAAUAUCCAUCAAAUGGAGUACAUUUGAGUGUCUUCUAUAUCAUAAACUAAUGGCACAUGAUUAUUAGUUACAUUUAUAUGAGUCCACCUUUUUUGAAAAUGAUACUAUGUGAACGCCGAUGGCUGCUAUGUUCAGUAAUAGUCUCCUGCGUGACUAACUUGACAGGUUCAUAGUUGGAAGAAAUUAAAUUUGAAGACUUGGCCUUGAACCAAUAUGAUUGCUAUAACUGGGAAACAUAGAUAUUAGUUCUUUCUAUGCCUAAUGAAAUUUGGAUGGAAAACCAAAUUUUCAAUUAUGAAGCCUUCUGAUGGCAAUUGCUUUGUGGAAGAUUUAAACUGCUUCGUAACAAUCAUGCCUAUCCUCUAAACACUAUCCAAUAUGGCCAUGUUCUCAUGUUGAAAAUAUAAUUGAUUGGAAUAGAGGCUCGGUUUAAUGGUUUAUCAAUAUGCUGUAAUUGUAUAUUUUUAUUUUUCAAUUGGACGAUUGGAAUCUAUCAAGCAAGCUUUGUAUGAACUGGUGAUUCUUCCUCUGCGGAAACCUGAGCUCUUCUCACAUGAGAAACUUCUUGGUCCACAAAAGGGGGUAUUGUUAUAUGGACCUCCAGGCACCGGGAAGACCAUUCUUGCAAAAGCUAUUAUCAGAGAGUUUGGAGCUGUUUUUAUAAAUAUGAGGAUCUCAAAUCUAAUGAGCAAGUGGUUUGGCGAUGCAAAAAAGCUCGGUGAGUAUAGAUCGCAUUUGAAUUGCCUCAUGUGCUUGAGCUUUGUCUUGCAUUUAGCAAAACAAUGAUGAUUUAAAAUUAUUGCCUUGUUAUUCUAAAACUUGUUGUCGCCCACCGACUAUAUUGAGUGAAAUUUAGUUUCACUUUGAUAAUGGAAGCAAGGUAGUACUUUGUGAACAUUCUUAACUAAGAUUGAACAUUCCUAACUUGUCCUUUUUGAAGAUCUUUAUUAGCAGCAAGAUUAUUUUGAAUGCUCUAUUAGCUUUAAA
rnacentral:lncRNA from 1 species